ACCAUAAUAACUAGAACAAUUUUUUUUUUUUUUUUUGAGUUACUAUAGUAAUACAAAAGUCAUGUGCAAGACAUUGUGAUCACAAUGAUUAUUUAAUUUGUAACUUCACUUAAGGACUGAGGCCUAUUAAACUAAUUGAUAAAAUUUGAACAGUCUAAUUGCCAAAAUUUAAAGUUUAGAGAUAUGUUUACAGAAGUGCUAAAGAUUAGGAGGCUUUAUACAUUUUUUAAAUAGAAAAAUAAAAGUUUAAGGGUCCAUUUCUCUAUACAUUUUCAGGAUGAGAAUGCUACAAAUACACCGUGCAUGAUAUACACCACCAUCCAUCUAAUAGGAGGAAUAUUAUUGGUGAACCCUUGGAUGAAGUGUAUGCCUUAUGUCUUUUACAUCCGAGGGCUAUUAUUUAUUGUCUAUUACAUUAAUUUUUUUAAUUUUUUUUAAAAGUCAUGUCACAUUAUUUUUUUUUUUUAAAUUUUAGGAUGGAGGGUGUAAAAUCUACACUCCUUUUGUGGGAUGUGUAAAUAAAAUUUUUCUUUAGUAGAUAGUGGCAUUUAUUAGCCAUAUCAUAUAACAAAUGAAAUAUCUCUACCCAUUCAAUGGAUGAAAGUGUAAAAUUUGCACCCAAAUGGCAAAUACCAACAGCAUUUAUCUUUGAGUUUUGCCUUAGUUCCUGACAGUUUCUUUUUUACUGUAAUUAACUUAGAACCAUCUAAUAUUUUUUUACUUUUGAUAAAAUAGCCCACACCAACUCUAAUAAGACUCUACUUGCUCAUAUAAACCGUAAAAAUGGUAUAAUAGCCUCCUCAAUCUUGCAAUCGAUUUUUAAUUUUUUUGAAAGAGUUUAGUGGCGUAUCCAACUCUACGCUAUAAUAUUAAAAUUUUUAAAUAAAUAGGAAGUGUUGCGUACAAAGUCGAGGCAAUUUUAGAUGCUGAAAAUGACUUAGAGGGUGAUGAGACUAGAGUUGACGCAAUGAGUGUGGAUAGGAAAGAAGAAGUUUGGGAUCAAAGUGAAAAAAAAAUUGUAAUAUUAAGAAACAAUUGUGUGAUUAAUCCUAAUGAUUAACAGGGUUUAAUUGCAUAAUAUAUGCAUAUUAAAAAAAAAAAUUGACAUGAAUUAAAAUAAAAAAUUGGGAUAAAGGAUGGGAAUUAAUGGUGCAAUUAAUUGAUAAUUUAAAAAUCAAGUCGAAUCUGGUUGGAUCGUAAUCCAGUCAUAUAAAACGGUUUGGUUCAUUCCUUUGAACCGAAUAAGUCAAAACAAAUUGUUUUGAACCGCUCGGACUGCCGGUUCAACAAUCGAACCGAUGAACCAACCCAAUUUUAAUCAAGCCGGCUGAAUUUUUUUUUAUCAAAUCAUAUUAAAAUCAAGCGACUUAAAAUCAAUCCAACUCAUUUCAUUUUCAAUUAACACCGGUUAGUCUUAUAAAAAGUAAAGUUUGAAAAUUUAUAUCUACUUAAUUUAGUUCAGAAAUCAAUAUUUUAUAAUUAAAUAUAAUUAAUAUUUAUAUAUUUCUAAUUAUAUUAGAAUUAAAAAUAAUAAUUAAAUAUAUUUAGGAUGUCAUGCUGACAUCAUUUGAACCAAUUAUCUAUUUUUGUGCCACUUGUUUGCGCCGAGUUAUAAAACAUUGAAAUUAAAAUCCAGCCGUAAUUUUCAGAGGACUGUACGGAGCCCAAGCGUUGGACGGACGAGAUCUUCCAGAUUCGUUAAACAAUUCGAGCCGACAAUGUGGACGGUCGAGAUCGCCGAGUCAUCUCUGCGCGUCCUCUCCGUCUCACUCCGCCACUCUCGCCGACCAUCCGGACGAUGUCGUCGGCCCCGGUGCGGUGCUCCGCCCGCUGGAUCUCGUCACCGCAGGUGAGGAUAAGAAACCCCUCACCAUCUUCGAUGGUUGCGCACUUGUGCUUCGUCUCUAAUCUCUUCCUCCUCCUCCUCCUCCUCCUCCUCCUCAUCUCUGAUACAAAAUCAUCAACCAAGUUUAAUUUCAGCUUAACAAUGGCGCCUCUCCCCCGAGCUUCACCUCUAGGGUUUCGCCCUGCGGCAGAGCACGUCGGAGAGUUUCCUCUUUGUGCUCGUUUGUAGCCCCCAUGUGCUGCUCCAAGAAUGAUCAUGGUGAGGUGAGAUUGAUUUAAUCCAUUCCAUCCUGAUUGGUUCCUGGGCUUAAUUAGAAUUAGGUCAUCCUCGGGUGCUUAUUUUGCGGAUUUUUGUACAUUAUAUGUGAUGUGCUCUGGCUAAUUCUCGGUAUUUUGUGAUUUGCAAUGAAGUAAUAAGAUAGUAUGUUCCAAUGGAGCAGAUCCGUAUCAGUAGUUAUACCUUCAUUCAGAUAUAAAUAAACUAUGUUUAGAUUGUCCAAAAAUAUUUGUAUGAUCAUGAAUAAAUGAUCAAGGAAAUUCUUGAAUUAUAGAUGGUGUGUUGACCUGUUUUUCGGGAUAAAUGGUGGUAUAAUGUGAUAUGUUUCUAGAUUGGGAUCUCAUUCCCUUCCCCCUUAUCUAUCUCUAUCUCUCUAAUAUCUUUUUCUUAGGAGGUUCGAUCCUCUCGAAGUGAUCGUUUAUCCCUAUUGAUACAAUAGAAUCGUAUCAUAAUGUUAAUAAAGUAGCGGAUUAAGUUGUCUUUGUAUUUUCUUCGAUUUUGGAUGACUGUAAUUAGAUUAUAUUCUGUCAGGCGGAUGCAGGUCAUGUUGGGGAUGCUGAAGUGGUGUCUGUGGAUCCGACUGGUAAUUUUGUUUGCGGCACAUCGUAGCUUUGGUCAUUUAUUUUAAAUCUUAAUGAUAUUUAUGUUAACAUUGUUUAUCACAUUUUUUACCCCUUUUUUUUUGUUUUUAUGGUUUCAGGUUCGGAGCAGUGUGGUGGCAAACAAUCUAUUCGAUCAUUUUCAUCGAAAGAGUACUCUUUUCUUGCUGUAAAUACAAAGUCUACUGUAGACAAAAAUUAAGGGACUAAGGGCUUGAUUUGGUGUUGUUGCCGUCUUUUCAUUCUUUUGAAUACGUAUUCUGUGUGAUCGGACCUGCUGGGCAGAUGCACUUUCUCUACUCUUUUUAAUGUUGGUUAUCUGGUGAUUAGAUGUAGAACGGCAUGUUGUUCGGAAAACCAGAGAAGGGAAAGUUGCUAUGAAAUAUUGCUUUUUGUUGCCAAAUCUUGUAGAUGUAUAGAUUGCAAGCAGUCAGUCUUCCACUGUCACAUUCCUUUGCAUAAGAUUUGUGUUAACAAAAAAACAACAAAAAAGGCAGCAGUACUACGUGAGACCUAAAUUCCUGACUCUAUAUUUGAAUUUGGUGAACUGCAUUGCAGAAAGAACUCAUCGAAACUUUUAGGAGAGAAGAUUGAUUUUUAUGCUACUAAUAAAUAGGGUUAUUAGAUGAGCUUACGAUCACUUGUGCUGGUAGAGGAAAUGUGACUCAUUGAUCUAAAUGUGGUAGAAGACUGUUGAUAUGUUAGGACAAGGCUUAUUUUGUUGUGGUUAAUAUUGUAAAUAGUAGUAAUCAUCAAUCUCAGUCAUCACAUAAGUCCCUCAAGAUAACAAGGUUCAUAUAUUCUGUCUCCACUUUAAUUCCUCUUCUCCAACUUGUUAAUAUUUAUAGUGGGUCCUCUUUGCAAUAUGGAUUAUUCCGUGAGAAACUAAGGAGGUUAAUUGUAAUUUGGACUCCAUGGACUCCAUUGUAUCAAACUUUAUUGAAUUUCUUCUUGCAUUUCGAUAUGCUUAUUCAUUUAUAUCGUUGAAAGUUUGAAGAUUUCAAAGCCUUCUUUUAGUUGUGGAACUCAUGUCAAUUUGUUUCGAUUUCCAUUAACCACAUGUUUUGUUUAUGUCAUUCAAUUGUAUAUUACAAGAAUGAGUUUUAAGUGUCCUGUGAUUACGCACAGCUAAUCUUGGAAAAUGAAAUUUUGGACUGUCUAACUGGAGUACAAAUUCAAUGUUCCUCAGGUUGCUGCAGAAGUUAAAGAGAUAUGGUACUGCAGGGGUAUUAUCGUAUGGGCUACUUAAUACUGUAUAUUACCUCUCAACUUUUCUCUUGGUCUGGUGAGUAAUAUUUACUAGAUUUUUAUAGUUCUUCAUAUACCUCUGAACAGCAGUUUGAGUGCUUACAGCAUAUAUAAUUGAUACUUGCACGGGGAGAUCUAAUUAAAUGUUGAACUCUUAUGUCUCCGAAUCUGUGCUAAUUGUUUAAUAUACCAAUAUGAGAGAGAGGAGUGGGGGGCUGUAUUGUCAUUCCAGUGCCAUCUAUUAGAGGUCUUUUUCCCCCCUUCUCUUCAAUCACUCGCAAUAUUUUGCUUUCCAGGUUUUACUUUGCUCCAGCUCCUGGUAGGAUGGGCUAUGCUGCAGCUGUUGACAGGUUAUGACUGGAAUAUUUUUACUGUUCAGGUCAUAUUCUAGAAUUCUUACUAUCAACUAAUGCUUUCCUUCGUAAUACAGAUUUCUCAAAUUAAUGGCGAUGGUGUGGGCCGGCAGCCAAGUAACCAAAAUCUUACGAGCAGGAGGGUUCGUUCAUAGUCCUUAUUUAUUGACAUCUAGUCUAUUCUACUGAACACUAUAUAUUCUGAGAGAGAAUUGUAUUUCUGGUCAAACCCAAUUAUAAUGUCCAAUUAAACAUAAAAUUGUUUUUUCUUGGUUAUCCUUGGAUGACGCUGCAUAACCCAUUGAUUGGAAAAGGUUACUCCCACUAAAUUUACAAUCAAAGCUAUUCCGAAGGAUUGAUUUGCUUUUAUUCACUAUGCUAGGGCACUUGCGCUAGCUCCUUUUGUUGACAGAGGAUUGUCAUGGUUCACAGUCAAGUUCAAGUUUGAGUCUGAAACAAAGGUGCAAGUUAGAUCAAUGUACCCAUUUUUUAUUGAAGCAUUUCAUCUAACUUUUCUCUACCCUUUCAGGCAUUUGCUGCGAUCGUAGGUCUAUGUUUUGGACUGGCCCUUCUCUUGUUCCUGGGGUUGACAUUGCUUUGGGCGUAGACAUUCAAUUAAUAAGGGGAAUCACUUUGAGAUACAUUACGAAUUAAGAAAUUAUUUUGUUGCGUAAAUUUCUCAUGUUUUUGGUAGUAGAUGAUUGUCAAUGUUACAUUAUAUGUAAUGUUCAUUAUAUUGCAACAAAUAUUGUAUUAGUGUCAUUAAACAUCUUCCCAAUUUCAGGUGAGGAAUCUGGAGGUAGAAAUUUAUGCUGUUUUCUAUUUCGGAAAAGCUGACCCAAGGAAGAAAAGAUUGUUUUCAGUAAAUUUAUUAUCAAGCCUAGUAUUAUUUCUGCACCUUUUUGGUUAAACUUCGGGAAUUGUCAAACUUUGAGAAGGUCAUGUAAUUUUGGAAUGAUACCUAUCAUUACAAAUUGUGGUGUACAAAAUCAGUUUGAUAUAACUUGUAUGUAUAAAUUAUUUUAUUAGCUGUUGAUCUCUCAGUAAACCUCAUAUCAACAUCGAAAACUGUGAGGACAAAAUUAUCGAUGUAAGAGGGAUAUCUAAAAACGAAGAAAUUUACUUUGUUUAAUAUCUUUGUUUUUUCACCUACGGCACUGUUACAUUUAAGCAUCGAGUUACAGAAAUAGUAAGUUUUUUCAUCUGCAGUAAUUUUACAUUUAGUUUUGAAUUCAAAAUAUUUGUAAUGUUUGUCCGUUGUUUGAUGGACAUUUACCCAAUCCCGCUCUUUUGGAUUCUUCUUGCGGAUCCUCUCUUUUCUUUGAUAUCUCUCAUGCUUCUUAACCCGUCGCCUGUUAAGCUUUCUUAUCUUAUUUCAUAAAUUGAAUUUUUGAAUUUUUUAUUAAUAUUUAAAUACUAUUUAUUAGAAUAUGUAAUUAGGCUGUAAUGUUUUUCAUAGUACUAUGUAAUUGAUAUUUGUAGAUCUUCGGCCUUUGGAUGAAAAACUGUGGGGUUAGAACAAUAGCGAUUUUUUUAGGAUUUAGUGGUGAUUAGUGAAAUAGUAAUGAUUGAUAAAUAGUCAAGGGGUGGAUCUAAUGGAUCUAAUGGUAAAAAAAUUAGUAGCAUCUAAGUAUUUAGUAGUAUUAGAAACACUUUAGUCGUGCUUUUAAAAUAUAUAAGAUUUUGUUUGGUAUUACAGGCCAGCUAAUACUAUAGAAUUAGAUAGAAUUGGGGUAAAAAAUAAUAAAAAUUAAAAUAAGUUACCACUUACAAAAAUUGAAGUACGUUAUGCUCCUCUUAGCUCUAGUGCAAGGUGUCCAUGAGACCGGGUAAAAGUUUUUUUUCUUUUUUCUUUUUUUUGCUGCAUUGUCUAGGCUCUGCUUCAUUCCGCUUCUUUUGGGUAAGAAUCAAGCAGGCCCAUUCAGAUCCAUAUUCUACAUAGAAUUGAUCAAAACUUGUUUGUUUGUUUGCUCAUUUAGCCUAUUUUAAGAUUUUAUAAAUCUAAUCGACAAAGUUAUAAAUGAACUAGAACUUAAACCACACAUCUCUUCAUGUUAGAUUUUGAUUUAAGUUUAUAGUUAUCUAAAUUGAAAAUAAAUUCUACUCUAAUUAGAAUAAACUUGGACUAUAUAGAGUAUAAGUGAGACUCUAAUUCAACUAGAGAUAGAAUUUGGCUUACCAUUUUAGCCAUAUAUUAUAUAUACAUACUAUGGCUAAGUUAAUAAAGCCGCAACUCUAAUUAAUUCGUGCUUUAAUUAUAUAGAGCUAAUUACGUUGUUAGUAGCCCUUUCAUAGGGAGUAACAACCUAAUCAGCCGGUGCACAUUGAACAGAGUCUUCUUUUUUUUUUUUUUUGAGAGAGAGAUAGGUAGCACACUACCCGCUUCGUUUAUUUUAUUUAGAAAUAAACUUAGCUUGAAAUGUGAAUCAAUUAGGAUUCGAACUUGGAUCUCGGGUACUAACCACCAAGCCCUUUGCCAUUCAACAUAGUCUUGAAGUUUAGAUCCAUCUAGUUUGGUAGCCAAACUAUAUAAAUUUCAUUAUAUUUUUUUAUUUUCUUUACUUGCGUUAAUUUUCUUGGAAAUUAUUUUUCACUGUUUCAAAUUUAACACCUGGAAAGUUAGAUUACAAAAGAAUAAUAUUUGACAAGUUUCUUUCUUUUUGUUGUAAACAAAUAAAUUUGGGCUUCAAAUCUUCCCCGUGUGUAUAUAUAUAUAUAUAUAUAGAUAAUGUUAGUGCAAUACACGUUAUUAAUUAUUAGAAAAGUUUAAUUUUUUUAAGUAUUUUUUAUUUUAGCGCAACUUUUAUAUGAUGCAAUAAUGUAUUUAAAUCUGUAUCUAAAAAAUUUAAAAUUAAAAUCCGCUAUUAAGAAAGAUAUGUAUUAAAUAGAAUAAUUCAACAAGUAAUCUCUAAUCAAAAUUUAUCUUUUGAAAAUAAAUAGAAAAACUAAAAUAUAUUAGGAAAAUAGAAAUUUGAAUUAAAUAGAAAAAUAAAAUCCGUUAUCUUAAAAGAAAUUAUUUUUAAAAUAUAAAUAGAUAAUAUCUAAAAAAGUAUUAUUAAAAUAAAUAAGAAAAUAUCUUUUACAGGAUUUUCACAUCCGUAAUUGUAUAUAGAAAACUUACUUUUGAAAUUAAAUCUAUAAAAAAUUAUAUUGUAGGAUUUUCACAUCAGUAUUGUUAUGGAGAGAUUUACAUAUUGAUUACGUCGGUAUUUCUAUAUUUUAUUUUAUAUGUUUAAAUUUUUCGUACGGAAAGAGAAAAUGAGGCGCGAUAUUUUUCCGCCCGAAAAAAUGGUCUGUCGACAGACCCAAUUUGAAUAUACUGUUUUUAUAUAGUGUACUCUAUAUAUAUAUAAUAUAUUUAUAUAGGAUAAUAUAAUAUACUAUAUAUAUAGAAUUAGGCUGGAAUACAUUAAUAGUAAAAUGCUCUUUUUAGCUAUCAAGUUUUUACUUGGAGAUGAAAAUUGUAGGGUCAGGAUGAUAUUAGUCAGUUAUAGUUGAGUGUCCCUAGGUUGAGUGGUGCUUCACUGGCUUUAAUAUUUAAUCUAAUGUUUAGAAAUAAUGAAAGAGUUGAUCAAAGGCCCUAGGAAACUGGUAGAACAAUAAGAUUUUGCUACUAAUAGACCAGUCCAACUCUAUAUAUAGUAUAUAUAUAUAUUAUAUAUAUAUAAUAUAUUAUAUAUAUAGAUGUUGAUAUAUAUAGGUAUCUAACGAAUGAAUGAUCAAAGGGUAGAUUUACGGGUAAAAAAUUUGCAAGCACUAGUACUUGAUGCUUGCUUACAAGCACAAAUCGGCGACUCUAGUAUAGGAAUUGGUUUCUUAAUCCUAUUGAAAGAUAUAGUUUUGUGGUGUUGUGAUUUUUGGCCAUCGGAUUAAUGGAUGUACUGGUUGAAUGAAUUGUUAUGUGUGACUCCUAGGGUUGAAGUAGUUUUGUGUUAAUAGUAUAAUCUAAGGAUGGAAAUGAUCAAAGAGGUAGAUCUACAUAAAAAAAUUUACAAAACCAAGUGCUUGUGCUUUUACAAACACCAAUACGGAUUCUAUUAGCGAUGAGCUUCUAUGCUUUUAAAAGCACCAAAUUAUUGAUGUUUGGUAGAUUUUUGACCAUUGAUAGGGUUUUACGUUAUGAUUGAUAUGGUUCCCCUAGGUUUGAGCAGGGUUGGUUGCAAUAGUUAUGAAUUAAACGUGAUUAAUGAUCAAAAUGAUAGACUAUAACGGUAAAAGACAAGCACCAAAUGAGUUGAUACUGUACAAGCACCGUAGCGAACUCUAUAUAUUAGCAUGAUUUAGGAGACAGUAAGAAUGUAUUUGUUGACUUGAGGCAUAAAAUGGAAUAAACACUUUAUCCUUCUAUUCAUCUAAACACUGCUAAGAGCGAGGGAGUUUAUUUAUCCCUCUUAACGGUCGAAUAACCCUUAAGAGGGGGAUUUGUUGUUACACCGUUGGUGAAUACAAAAUUUUCAUCUUGUAUACCGUCUGACUGCUUUAAUAUAAAAUAAUUUAUAUUAACUAUAUGAUAUUAUAUCAUUUAUUAAACUAAUUAGCUAAUUAAAAUUAACUAAUUUAAUAUAAAUAUUAUCCAAAUUAAUAUUGUUAUUAGUGCUGUUAUACGAAUAACGCUAUAUCUUUUGUAUUAAUAAUUAAUAUUUCCAACAAACUAAUUAAUGUAAUUAAGUUAAUUAAUUAAUUUAUAAUAUAUUUAAUGUAUUGCCUAAUUUGACUUUAUUAAAUAUUUAUUAGUUAGAUAUUUUAUUAAUUAACGAGUACCAUGGUUAAUUGAUUAAUGAUUAAUUAAUCUGGCUUAAUUGAUAUGUAUUAAUUAACAUUUAUGAUUUCUAAUAAUAUUCGUGUAAUUAAUUUUUUAAGAUAUAAAUUUGAGAUUUUAAAAUUUUAAAAUUUAAUUUUUGAUUUUUAAAAUUUAAAGUUUAUAUUUUAAUUUUAAAUAUAAUAUAAAUAUAAAAUUAUCUAAUUUAAUAUAAAGAAGAAGAAUAAUGAUUAUUAUUUUAUUUAUAACUACGCCUUUUAUCUUAUUCCAUCUCACCUAAUCAAACAUAUUUUUCUUAUUUAGGAAUACACCCAAUGUUCACUCAAACGCAAAAUUGAUCUAUCCGCUUAAUACCUCAAUUAUAUAUCGCCGGAAUAACCCCUGUUUUGCUUUUCUCCGAACACUACGAUUAAGAAUCCUAUGUAAUAUAUGUGAAUUAUGUUUGGAGACCCAUCUAUGUUGAUUCUUAACUCUUCCUCAAUUAUUCAUUAUUUAAUUUUUUGACAAUGUUUGAGGCGCGGGUUUAAUUUUCUUUUCAAAAAUUACGGUAUUUUUAUUUAAACGAUAAAAUUUUAUCAGAUUGAUAGGUAUUUUAUCAAUUUUUUUCCUAUAAGUUCAAAUUAUUUUUAAUAAAUAAAAUAAAUUAAUUAAUAGUUAAGUAACAAGAAAUUUGAUAUAAAUUCAAUAAAAAAUAUAGAGUUGAGAAGUCAUUUGGGGGAAUGCAGGGUCAAGUAUUGCGUUUGAUUUGAGAAUUAAAUUUUGGAGAACAUCUUUUGUUGUUCUCGAGAAUAGAGGAUAUUCCGGUAUAAGUUGUAAAUUAUGUUUGGAUGUUGUUUGUUUAUUUUUAGAGAAUAUUCUUGAUAAUGUUAGGGUGUUUAUGUUGGAAUAAGAUGUUGAAAAUAUAAAAAUUAAAUAGGACGACAAAUUUGCAGGUAAAUAUAAUAAUUAAAUAUGAUUUAAUAAAUUAAGUAUUAGAAUAAAUUAAUAACAAAUUAAGUAUAUUUGUACAUUAUUUUGAAAAUAUUAAUUUAGUAGUAUUCAAUUUAAACAUUUAUUUAAAUUUAUUCAAAAUUAAUUUAAAAAUAUAAAUAUUUAAAAUGGAGUAACACUUAUUAAAUUAAUCAUUCAAUCUAUUUUCUUUUAUUUUAUUAAAUUAAAUAUUGAUUUAUAAUUUUUUUUGUUCAUUUGAGGCAAAGGAUUUAAAGGGCAAAAUGGAAAGUUUCAGAGGAAUCCAAGUUGUUCCGUCCAGUUCUCCCAACUGAGGAGAAUAGGCUUAACGGGUUAUUUUUGGAACAACUCAUUAAGCUGGGAACAAAAAAUUCUUUUUUUUUAUUUUCUUUUCGUUUGGGUAUUGAUUGAGGAAUAUUCCAUUUUGUUUUGGAAUAUUCUCCAACCAAACGCAACCUUAUAUAAUACAUAGGCUUAGCUCCACGUCGAUUGUGAAAUUAACCCAAGUCAAGAGGCAGUCCAUAUACUGCAUGAGCCGAGUUCCUUGCUCCCUCGUCCUUAGGUAUAGAUCAGUAUUUCAAUAAAUAAAUUUUUUUGUUUGCUUUAUUCUUUUUUUUUCUUUUUUAUAUUUUUUAUCUGACAAAUUAGAUUUUUUUAUAUUUAUAAUAUAUAAUUUGCAGCUGGUUAAAUGUUCUGUUUUUCCAUUUGUCCCUAAGCUAAUAUGCAGAUUUGAAUACAACAUAUCUAUAAAAAAAAAUCGUCUAAUUAUAUUAUGCUAGAAUUUCUAAUCCAAUUAUAUUAGGCAUAUAUAAUAUAUACUAGUAUAGUGAACCGCGCGUUGCGGUGAAUAGAUAAUAUCCGAUAUUUAACUUUAGUUUUUGUACUAAAUUUUUUUAAAAAAAAUUAUAAUAUUUGACUAUUUUUGUUACUAUCAUACUUCAAACAUAAAGAACAAACAAAAAGAAAGAAAAAUAAAACUAUAAAAGAAAAAAAUUUGAUGUAUGGAUAAUUUGAAGAAAUAUUUAAGAUCUUAUAAAAGAAGUUAAAGAAAGAAAAAAUAGUAAAUACAUAAGAAAAAUAAAAAUUUUUUAAAUAACAAACAAAUAAAAAUAGAAACAGCUAAAACAACAGUAGUAAGAGCAGCUAUAAAUACAAUGAAAUUUAGAAUUGUAGAAGUUGAAAAAAAAACUGCAAAAGUUGGCUCAAAGAAAAAUCAAUAGUCAGUAAAGAACGAAGGAAAGAAUGAAAUAAGACUAAUAGAAAAAGUUUUUAAAAAAUGUUACUAACCAACUAUCCCAAAAAUAUACGACUGCAAUAGUACAAAAAUUAAUAGUAGCAACAUAAAAACUUUUUCUAUUAGUCUUAUUUCAUUCUUUCCUUCGUUCUUUACUGACUAUUGAUUUUUCUUUGAGCCAACUUUUGCAGUUUUUUUUUCAACUUCUACAAUUCUAAAUUUCAUUGUAUUUAUAGCUGCUCUUACUACUGUUGUUUUAGCUGUUUCUAUUUUUAUUUGUUUGUUAUUUAAAAAAUUUUUAUUUUUCUUAUGUAUUUACUAUUUUUUCUUUCUUUAACUUCUUUUAUAAGAUCUUAAAUAUUUCUUCAAAUUAUCCAUACAUCAAAUUUUUUUCUUUUAUAGUUUUAUUUUUCUUUCUUUUUGUUUGUUCUUUAUGUUUGAAGUAUGAUAGUAACAAAAAUAGUCAAAUAUUAUAAUUUUUUUUAAAAAAAUUUAGUACAAAAACUAAAGUUAAAUAUCGGAUAUUAUCUAUUCACCGCAACGCGCGGUUCACUAUACUAGUAUAUAUUAUAUAUGCCUAAUAUAAUUGGAUUAGAAAUUCUAGCAUAAUAUAAUUAGACGAUUUUUUUUUAUAGAUAUGUUGUAUUCAAAUCUGCAUAUUAGCUUAGGGACAAAUUGAAAAACAGAACAUUUAACCAGCUGCAAAUUAUAUAUUAUAAAAAUAAAAAAAAUCUAAUUUGUCAGAUACAAAAAUAUGAAAAAGAAAAAUUUAAAAAAAAAGAAUAAAGCAAACAAAAAUUUUUAUUUAUUGAAAUUCUGAUUUAUACAUAAGGACGAGGGAGCAAGAAACUCGGCUCAUGCCUCUUGACUUAGGUUAAUUUCACAAUCCACGUGGAGCUAAGCCUAUAUAUAGGGUAUGUUUGACCCUCAUUCCCAAAUGACCUCCUCAACUCUUUUAUUAUUUUUUAUUUGAGUUUUUUUAUCAAAUUUCUUGAUUAUUAAUUAUUAAUUAAUUUAUUUUUAUUUAUUAUAAAAUAAUUUGAAUUAUUAAAUUUGAUAAAAUCACGAAUCAAUUGAUAAAAUUUUUAUCGGUCUAAAUUAAAAUUACUUCAUUUUGAAAAGAUAAAGUUAAACCGCUCUUAAUAAAUUAAUAAUAAUAAAGUUGAGGAAGAGUUUAAGAAUCAAACAUAUGUGAGGGGUUUCCAAACAUAUUCACGUAUAUUCAUUAUGUCUAAUCUAUAUAUAGAGUUUUGCUAUGAUACUUGUAAAAGCAACAAACAUUUGGUGCUUAUAAAUUUUUUAUCGACAUCAUCCAAACCGUACAUCCCUUAAUCCAAUGGUCAAAAAUCUACAAACAUCAAUAACUUGGUACUUUUUUUUUUGAAAGAUAGCUAGCACGCUACCUGCUUCGUUUAUUUCAUUUAGAAAUAGAAAUGUGAAUCAACUAGGAUUCGAACUUGGGANCUAUAGUUUUUUAACGUAUUUUAAACAAAAGAUCCAUGAAGUUUAUGAGAUCUAGUUCAAAUUGCCUCGGCUAGCUGCUAAGCUUUCAGCGUUGUAGCUUUUGCUCGACCUUCGUGCCUUCCGAGGCACGAAGGCUAUCGUAUCAUCGGAAUGAUAUAUAUAUAUAUAUAUAUAUAUANNNNNNNNNNNNNNNNNNNNNNNNNNNNNNNNNNNNNNNNNNNNNNNNNNNNNNNNNNNNNNNNNNNNNNNNNNNNNNNNNNNNNNNNNNNNNNNNNNNNNNNNNNNNNNNNNNNNNNNNNNNNNNNNNNNNNNNNNNNNNNNNNNNNNNNNNNNNNNNNNNNNNNNNNNNNNNNNNNNNNNNNNNNNNNNNNNNNNNNNNNNNNNNNNNNNNNNNNNNNNNNNNNNNNNNNNNNNNNNNNNNNNNNNNNNNNNNNNNNNNNNNNNNNNNNNNNNNNNNNNNNNNNNNNNNNNNNNNNNNNNNNNNNNNNNNNNNNNNNNNNNNNNNNNNNNNNNNNNNNNNNNNNNNNNNNNNNNNNNNNNNNNNNNNNNNNNNNNNNNNNNNNNNNNNNNNNNNNNNNNNNNNNNNNNNNNNNNNNNNNNNNNNNNNNNNNNNNNNNNNNNNNNNNNNNNNNNNNNNNNNNNNNNNNNNNNNNNNNNNNNNNNNNNNNNNNNNNNNNNNNNNNNNNNNNNNNNNNNNNNNNNNNNNNNNNNNNNNNNNNNNNNNNNNNNNNNNNNNNNNNNNNUUAGACUUGAUCUAGCGUAUUUGAAGUACCUAGAAAAUAAAUUAUGCAAUUUUUUGAUAUUAUUUGCCUAGUGAACGAAGGGGCUCAAAAUCAACGGCUGAAAAUAAAAAUCUUACAAAACGUGAUAAUAUGACGUUAAAAUUUUAGAUCACAGAUAUUGAUCUUGUUUUAUAUAGCAUAAAAAAUUUUCUAUCAAAAUUUCACGUGAUUCGGAUAUUUCUACAGCAUUAAACUUGCAAACGGCUCACUGCGAUCAUUAAAAUUAUUGAUUUUGAGCCCCUUCGAUCACUAGGCAAAUGAUAUAAAAAAAUCAUAAAAUUUGUUUUCUAGGUACUUCAAAUAAUCUAGAUCAAAUUUAACGGAGCCGAUCGACGAUUCGAAAGUCGCAACAUCGAAAACGAGCUGGAAGCACGGAAGGCUCCGUGCUUCCGAUAGUAUAUAUAUAUAUAUAUUUUAAAUUAUAAAAUAAAUAUUUAUAUAUUAUUAAAUAAAACUCUUAGGUCUAUGAUAAAAAUGAAAUUAAUUAAAAAAAAUAAAAAAAUAAACAUUCAAGAUGUGUCUAUUAUUAUUUUUUUUAAUGCAUAAAGAAAUUAUAAUGUUACUCGAAAAGUAAAUAAAAUUUGACCAAAUAAAUAAAAUCUGGGUGAGGUUAGAGAAAGAGAAAAAACUAAAAAAAAAAGGGAAAGAUUGGGAAAAAUAAAAUCUCACAAUAACCGGUGUAUGUUUUUUAUUUUAAAUUAAAUUUAAAUUUAAAUUUAAACUUAAAUAAUAAUUACUAAAAACUUACACAACGAAUCGAAAUAUAUAAAUCAAUCAUAUAAAAUACAUUAAUAACAUUAAUUUAUAUAAAAUUUUUUUUGAAUUAACAUCACAAAAAAAUAUUUUUACCUAAUAAAUAUAGAUUUAUUAAUAUUUUAUUUUUAAUUAUAAAUUAUGUAUGUUAGAUUUUAUAAAUUUUUAAUCCGUAUUUAUUAAUAUAUAAAAUUUCAAAAUAAUAUUAAUUUUGUGUUUGAAUAUUUAAAUGUUAGACUGGGCUUGCCCACAAUUCUAGUCGUAAUAACAAAUAUUAGUUUUGAACGUAUAAACUAUGUUAACUAGCGUAUACUUUUACAGAGAUUUUAAAAAAAUAAAUUAAUUGAUUUUAUAUAAUAAUAAAUGAAUAUUUUUUAUAUAAAUUAAUAAAUAAUUAAUAAAUAUUUCUUCUAUUUACUUAGGCAACGCUUCGUGACCAUGGAAUUGAUCAUAAUAUAAUUUAGAUUUAAAAAUUUCAUGUUUAAGUUUAUAUUGUAAUUUAAAUAAAUAUAUAUAUAUCUUAAUCCGACCUUAUGAUAAUUAUCAUUUUGCGAGAAAAACGAUAGUUCAAAAAUUGGGAACCUACUUUUUAACAUCCCAGUACUACUAUAAUCAGCCAAUCUCAACUCACCAGAGGGAUCCCAACUCACCAGGGGUGGACCAAUAUCAUAAAUUAGGUUACCAAUCUUUAUUACUUUUCUCAACUAGGUUUCCGAUUUUUUGACCAUCGUUGUUACUCUAAAACGAUGAUUAUCAUCGGGUCAGGUUGAGAGAGAGAGAGAGAGAGAGAGAGAGAGAGAGAGAGAGAUAUAUAUAUAUAUAUAUAUCACACUCCGACGAUAUNNNNNNNNNNNNNNNNNNNAUGCAUGCAACAAUAUAUAUAUAUAUAUAUAUAUAUAUAUAAAUCAAAGAACCGUUGGUAAGAAAUUUUUUUUUUUUUCUUUACAGCUUAAUGUUCACUCUUUUUUUCAAUAGUCUUACCCUCGUUGAUUUUUUCCAAUGGACAAUUUAUUUUGUCAUGAUUUGAUUAUGUAAUACCUAAAUUUAUAACCAAUGGGUUAAUGUUUAAAAUUGGUAUUCUAAACAAACUAAAUACAUAUACAAAUUUUUUUUGCAAAACAAUCAUAUAUAAAAGCAUUAUGAUUAGCAAAAAAAAAAUUAAAUAAUUAUUGUAAAAAUAUUUAUAAAUUGACAACCAAAUUAGAUUAUAUCAUAUAUAAUAGCAUUACGAUCAGGAUUGGGGAAAAAGUAAAAUUUUAAAUUAUUCACAGCAACAAAUUGGUAGGCAAAAAAAAAAGCAUAUACAUAAAAAUUAAAUCAGAGAACUUACAAAUUUUGAGACAAUUAAUCACGGAUCAACUGUACACAGAUAGUCAAUUUUCUGAGACAAAAUAAAAUUAUUCAGUUUUUUUUUUUUAAAAAUAAGUAGCCAAAUUAAAAUUCAAAUUGAAACAAAAUGAAAGGUGAAAACCAAAUCGGAGAAGAAAAUAGCACCAGUAGAGAAAUAGAGAUUUUUUACCGUAAAUAAAAAUUUUAUAGAGACAUAUUAUAUAGGCAAAAAAAAAAUCGCAUUCUACAUAAAAUAACCCUUCGGAUUCAACAAAUACAAAUAUUCGAUGAGUCGAAGGGAGCUUAGAGAAUGAAUCCGAACUAUUUUUGCAACCGAAUGGGGAUUAAUCGGUAGGAACUAAGCGUUGCUAAUAAAAAAGGUGCGACGGGAAAAAGGAUAGACAAUGAACUUGGCCCAAUUUUUUAUCUAGGAAGGACGCAUCAGGAGUCGGAGAAGCAUCUAGGGGGGCGAGCGGUAUCUAGGGAGGGCAAAAAAAAAUUGCAUUCAACAUAAAAUGACCCUUCGGUUUCAACAAAUAAAAAUAUCUGAAGAGUCAAAGAGAGCGUAGAGAAUGAAUCCGAACUAGUUUUGCAACCGAGGGGGAUUAAUCGGCAGGAACGAAGCGUUGCUAAUAAAAAAAGGCGCGACGGAAAAAAGGACCGACAAUGAACUUGGUCCAACUUUCAGUCUAGGGAGGACGCAUAAGAAAUUGGAGAGGCAUUUAGGGAGGCGAGCGGCAUUUAGUGAGGUAAUUUAGUAUAAUGAACUUAGUCCAAUUUUCUAUCUAGAGAGGACGCUUCAGAAGUUGGAGAGGCAUCUAGGGAGGCAAGCGGUAUCUAGGGAGGUAAUUUAGAAUGACAGGUAGGUCCCACAAAAGUCUAAAAUUAAGCUAAUAUCGUCACGUGGACAAAAAGGCAUGGAAAUUCAUAGGAGUUUAUAGAUGGCAUACAUAAAUGGCAUACAUAAAUGCCAAUUUUUUCGAAAGUUUGUAUGCAUUUAAUAAUCUAUAUGGCAUACAUAAAUGCAUAAAUUGUACACACAUGAAUCAUGCGUGUCACUGCUUUCUAAAAAAGAACAAUCCAAUUUAUAAAUCUAUAUGGCAUAGGGUUGGAAAAAUAUGCAUACGUAAAUACAUAAAUCGUACAUACAUGAAUGAGGCAUGCCAUCUCUAUCCGAAGAAGAUCAAAUUAUUUACACUUAAAAAUUUAACAGUCAUGCUUUUGGUGUUCAUGUAGCACAUCUAGAAUCAUAAAUGAUGCUUCGAUGUAUUGUCGCAGAAAGAAUCUAAUAAUAAACUCAAAUUAAAUCAAAAAUUUUGAAGUACCGGUACUAGUUUGCCAUAGUAUUGUUCAUGUAAUUGCUAUGUUCGCUGGUAUAAGAUGAAAAUUUUAUUGUUCAUGCAUAUGGUUCAAAACAUGUUAUAUACAUGAAACUUUUAACAGUACAUCAAUGCCCUAUAAAAAAACCUUAAUUGCCGUAAACUAUUCACCGCUUCUUAAAACUAACAAAUCAUUCAUCGCUUUUUCAUAACUCAUAAGUUUAUCACAUUCGAAUUCCAAAAAAUUUAUAUUAUUAAACUCUAAAAAUAAUUUUAAUAUUUUAAAAAAUGUAGUAAAUGAUUUAUUAUAUUUAAAAAGUAGUAAUUUAUUUACCACAAUAUAGAUAAAUAUUUUACUAAAUUAUUUUAUUGUUCAUGCAUGUGGUUCAAAACAUGUUAUAUACAUGAAACUUUUAACAGUACAUCAACUCCCUAUAAAAAAGGUUAAUUGCCGUAAACUAUUCAUUACUUCUUAAAAGUAAGAAAUCAUUCACCGCUUUUACGUAAUUUAUAAGUUUAUCACAUCCGAAUUCCAAAAAAUUGUAUAUUAUUAAACUCUAAAAAUAAUUUUAAUAUUUUAAAAAAUAUGGUAAAUAAUUUAUCAAAUUUAAAAAGCAGUAAUUCAUAAACUAUUUUUAUAAUAAUUAUAAUAUAUUUUACGUCUAUUAAUAAAAGAAAUUUUUUUUGCUAGAGUAAUAUAACGAUAAAAUAAUAGAAUAGUAAAAUAUUAGAAUAUUAAGUAACAUUGUUUUUAUCUAAAUAAUUUUUAUUAUAUGUUUUAUGUAAAUAUUUGUGGAAACAUGCAAUUUGGGACGACUUACAAGUGCUCGUACUGUCAAAGAGACGAAUUCAAUAGUCUCUCUUCUUUAACCUUGCAUGUGAACAAUUGUGCAUUGAGGCCCGGCGCCGGAGGAGUGCAGAAGCCAGAAAACGAGGGGAAUUGAGGGCGAAAUGACCGGGAUCAAGGGGCGCAGGAGCAAUAGAGCCACCCGGGCGUAGGGGUGGAAACGAGCCGAGCUUAUUUCAGCUCAAGCUUGGCUUGAAAUUAAUUUCAAUCCUAAAUUUAGGCUCAAGCUCGGCUUGAAAUUAAUUCGAGUCGAGCUCGAGCGAGCAUAACUUCGAGUCGAGCGAACUCGAGCCCUAAACGAGCCGCUUGAAAUUCUUAACAUCGUGCAAUCUAUAGUUUAAUUUUUAUAAAACAAUAUCUAAAAUUUGAUACAAAAAUAUCUAAUAGUUCAACAUACAAAAUAAAUGCAUGAAAUACGAUAUUAUAAUAUUAAAAAAGUAGGAAAAGUGACUCUGCGAGCAAGUGAAAAAAAGAAAGAGAGUAAUUAGAGUAGGAUUUUACUGGUUUGGUUUUGUUGGCCCAAUAAUUUAAAUUCUAUAUACAUAUAAUUAAAAUACAUAAUAUAUAUUAUUUUAUAUAAUUAAAAUAUAUAUUAUAUAUAAUUAUAUAUAUAUAGAGUCCGGCUACUAUAUUUUUAUAAGUAUAGACCCUUUAUACUCAUAAAUUUUCAACCGUUAGAUCUAUUCUUUUGACCAUUUCCAUCCUGUAACAUACCAGAUUUUGGUAUAAAAAUAAAAAUAAAUAAAAAUAGUGUUAGAAACUAUUUUUAUUGGAUUUGUAGGAGUAAAACAUAAGUCAGAAGUGACUUGUACUGAAAUCGGAUUGAAAACAGAAAAUCUAAAAUUUUCUGUUGGAAACGGGACAGAUAAAUUAGCAGAAAAUGCACAGUCUCAGAAAAUUAUGAAAAUUGGAGGAUAAGUCAGAAAUAUUUUUAUUAGGCUAGAUUCAAAGUUUCAUAUUUUUCUGACACCCGUAGAGUGAGAAAUAAAAUCCGACAGCUAUCUGAUAAAGAUUACAGUUCGGCACAAUUUUCGGUGACCAAAUGGGGUCGAAACUGAAAACUUAAGAUAUAUUCUUACUCAGUACAUUAAACUGAGCUUUCUUGUCAAAUUUGAGCUCAAAUGGACAUUCAGAAGGGCUCCAACUGUUCCGAACUGCUAAACAGCUGCCCGGAAGUGAAUAGUGUAAAAGUUGAGGGGCUGAUUUGUAAAAAGGGAUUUAAUCCCUUUUCUUCUUCUUCUCCUCAGCCGAAUGCGCACACACACACACGCCACACACACGCAAGGAGAGGGAGGAAGAGAGCUCUCCUUUCUCUCUCUAAAUCUCUCCCAAAAUUGAUGAAAUUGGAGGAGAAGCAAGCUUGGAGGUUGAUCUUCAUCUCUUUUAUCUUCUUCCUCUCCAUUGGAGCUUGCUUGCAAGGUAAGUUUUGAUGCCCUUUAAUGGUAUCUCUUUGUAGUUUGGGUUUUAAGCUUCAAGAAUGGAUUUAGAGCUAUUCUAGCAUGCUAAAGAGAUGAUUGUUGCUUAAAUCAUGGAUCAAUUUGAUGAUUUCUUGCCUAGUUGUAAACCUAGGGCUUGAACUGAGCUUUUUGAACCCUCUCAUGGUAGUGUUGGCCUAGUGGCCCUAAUCGUCUAUUAGAUUUUGAUGAUAACAAAUAAUCACGAUUAUUGGACUAAUCUUUUUAUCUUGAGUCUUGUGUUUUAGAUCUCUCUAUCUUCAAAAANGCUGUUGGCCUAGUGGCCCUAAUCUUUCAUUAGAUUUUGAUGAUAACAAAUAAUUACGAUUAUUGGACUAAUCUUUUAUCUUGAGUUUUGUGUUUUUGAUCUCUCUAUCUUCAAAAAGAAUUCAAGAUGGGCAAUAUUCUAGCACCUAGCUUCACCAUUUGAAGCUGUGUUUGCUUCUUUUAUCAAAUAAACAAACUCACUCUCUCUAUUCUUAAUUUGAUUAAUAUUAUGCUUUGAGUUAAGUUUAAACUAUUCAUCUUAUCACCUUAUAGAUCCCUUAAACAAAAUUCUAAAUUUAUGAUUAGGUGAAAAUGACUUUUAAAUAUUCAAAAAUUGCUCAAAUUCUGUGUUCUGUAAAAUUGCAAUUUCUGGACCCUGUUCUGGGCGCCCGAAAGUGGAUCCGAAUCUUUUGAGACCUUUUGGAUCCUGCCUGUUUGCUGUUCGGGUGAUUCAGAAACACAAAGACUGUUUGACUUGACAGGUUGCGACAACAGGCGGCGCAAAAUCUGGGCGCCCAGAUUUUACGGAAGCAGCGGCGCACGCAAUCUGGGCUGUUUGGCAAGAAAGUCAGCACGAGAUCUGGGCGCCCACAACUUUUGAUGGCUCGAAUCCAGAAAAACGGCGCAUGUCAGAAAAGUUGUCCCUCGAGAUCUGGGCGCCCACAUUUUCUGAUGGCCCAAAUCUAGAGGAAGCGGCGCGUGUCAGAAAAGCUGUUCCUCGAGAUCUGGGCGCCCACAAAUUUUUGACGGCCCAAACAUACAAAGUCAAGAAAAGCGGCGCACGUGGUCCGACAAGCAGCUGGCGUGCACAAACUUCUGGGCGCCCGGAAACAGUUUGUGGGCGCCCGAAAGUACAACUGCAGAUCUGUCCGAGGCUAUAAAUAGAUGGUAUUGAGGCCUCACUCUGCAGCAACUUGAUAACUCAUUUUUGAGCAUAAAAACUUCAGUGAUCUUAAUACUCUUAGCUAUCAAUUCUCUCUCUAAACUUGAGUGAAACUUGUAGUGAGAUUUAAUCUUGUAAAAAGAGAGAAAAGCAAAAUCUUGAAGCUUGAAAGAAGGAGUUGAUGUGAAGGCUUGGUGCUUGCCCGCAAAAGCAUCAUCUAGUGGAGAUCCAACAUUCUCGAGUGUUGAGAAGUUGGCGGGGACGUAGGCAAAGUGCCGAACCUCGAAACAAAUUGAUUGUGUGCUUUUCGAGUUUGCAUUUCUUUUAUUUGCAUCGUUUUUUUAAUUUGCUUGAUUAUUUGGUUUUUUUUUAUUUUAGAAACCUAAUUCACCCCCCCUCUUAGGUUGCCAUUUUGAUCCUCAGGUAGAUCUUUAAAGCUUCAUUAUAAUCCAUAGAAAUGGUUUAUUUGGAAUCCUAGCAUGCUAAAUAAAGGAUAAAUGCUACAAUCUAGGAUCAAUUUAAUUAAUUCUUGCAAUAGAUGAAGCCUAGGGUUCAAAAUGCAAGUUUUGUAAAUAUGAGGGUUUGAUCUCAUUUGACCCUCUGUAAACCUAAUUGCCAGGUAAACGAAUGCGUUGGCGAAGUCGGUUCGGCGAUUCGUUGAGCCGUUGCGAAGUUAUUAAAGAAACAGACGUUUAGGCUUCGUUUCCGCCUGGAGGGCCGAGGCGACAUCGUAUAUUCAUGAAAACGGAUUUGAAGCAUCGUGGCACAUAACCGAAGACCUUAAUUUUCGGAUCAUGAAUUGAAGGCCGUUCGGGUGGUCGCGCAAGAGAUCGGGCCAAACCGGGUGCCGGGUGCCGCUGGAGGCCGAUUGCAAGUGACUACAAGCAAUCGGAAUGCGUAAUGAGGUGGGUUGUGCUCACCGAAGCGACUAUGUAGCCUAUAUGUCUUAGAGUAAUGGUUUUCUAAUUGAUGCAUAUGGUUGAUGUUACUUACUGUUGAGAUAAAAUGCAUAAUGACAUAUAAUGUGUUAAAUGCUAGAUGAAUACAUGAGUUAAUUGUCACCUGAAUGCAUGAAAAUAAUGUUAUAGUAAUAUGUUAGAGGUAAUAUGCAUGUUGAUAAAUUAUGGAACAUGUUGGAUGGCAAAUGAAUGGUUGGUAUAUAUAUAUAGACAUAUUGUGGAAUAUGAGGAAUGAGUGCAUGUUGAUUUAUUAUAGAAUAUACUAGAUGAAUGUAUAUUGACAUAUUGUGGAUUAUGUUAAAUGACACAUGCAUAUUGAACUUGGGUCGAUAAACUCUAGGUGAAUUAGAGAACUCGACAUUGGAAAACAAUGACAUAUGAACUAUGAUAUGUGACGUAGACAAUCUAUAUAUAUUAGAUCGAGUGGCAUAUGAUUAAUAUAGUGGAAACACUUAUGGCAUGUUGAACAUUUAGAAAACAAGUAUGGCAUGAGUCCAAGAAUAUAGUAGUGUAUAUGACAUAAGUGAUAGUAAAGAAUGCAAAGAAAAGAAUGAUGAAAAUAUUAUGACAUUUCAAUCCUAGAGUUAGGGUCAUUUGAGCAUAGUCUUCCUAAAGUUAAGGAAUGGAUUGAACUUGACAUCCUCAAGAUUUUGGAUUUGAUCAUUGAUCAUACUCACCUUUAGUCCUUGCUCGAGGUUGUGGUAGCUCCCCCUCGGGCGAUGUGCUCCGGAGUCGACAUCACUGGGUUGUAGAGAGUAUCUCCCCAGAGGACGGUCCCAUCGGGUGUAGCGAGUAUCUCCCUGAUUAUUGGGAUUUUGAGUUGGUGAGUUUGUUGAGGGCGAAACCUUCGGGUUAGCCAAGAGAUUGGGUAACAAGCACAUGAGUUGUAAUAAUAUCCUAGUUGAGUAGACUUAAGGCUGAGGUGCAAGUGAGACGUCCUUCGCCUCGAGCCUGCCUUUGCGCGGUACUCCGCGAAUGAUUGACUCGAGACCGAGUCGGGUGGGUAGUUGAUAAAGGUAAAUGAGACCUUAUGAUUAAAAUGGUAAAUGACAGAAAACCUUAAAUGUCAAUUGGAUGAAAGUAGUAAUCGAUUGAAUUACUAAUUGAUUGUAUAGUCGCAUCAUUGUAUGAUCUUCAUAUUGUAUUCGUGAGGCAAUGCAUGGUUUCAUUUGUUGCAUAAUCAAGAUAUAUAUCUAUCUGUUUAUUGAACUAACUUGCAGUUGCCUCCCUUGGACCUAUUGGUCGAGCUUUUCCCUUGGGUGGCCGUACCUACUGGAAACCAUGGAGUUGGUUCUCACCCCACGUGGUUUUGGAGUGUUACAGGUUCACACGUGAGCGGCGCGGCGGCGCGAGGCGAGGGCGUAGCAUCAUAGUUAGCGCCCUACCACCGAGACCAGAGAUAGCGGUACCCUGAGUCGGCUUGUUUAGGAUCGUAGAAAAUGAAAAGAAUCAAGUUGUAAUAAUCAUGUUAAAUCGGAUUGUAUUUGGAAGUUGAAUGUAAUAAGUAUUUGGGAUGUAAAAUGUAUGAAUGUGAAUGCUUGUAAUAACAAGAUUAUGUUUUUGAUACUUCCUUAUGCAAUCUUUGAUUGAAAUGUGUUCCUGGUUGAAACUUUGUACAUUGUAUUGAUUGCGACGCCUUGAAUGUAUAGGGGAGACUCUGUCCGCGGUACCGGAAAAACCCUAUUCGUUUGGCGGUCUGUUACGGCGCCGCGACCCGGCCAAAUAGGCGGGCGGUCGUGGGGCGUGACACAUCCCUUAAAUCAUACUAUUCAACCAACCACCCACUCAAUCCUAGGGGACCACUAUCAUCCUAAUCGCACAUCUAAUGCCCGAAAAUUUAUAAGUAUAAAAGGGUCUAUACUCAUAAGAGUAUAGUAACCCUAACAUAUAUAUAUAUAUAUAUAUNNNNNNNNNNNNNNNNNNNNNNNNNNNNNNNNNNNNNNNNNNNNNNNNNNNNNNNNNNNNNNNNNNNNNNNNNNNNNNNNNNNNNNNNNNNNNNNNNNNNAAGAGAGAGAUCGGCGUUGAGUGUUAGUUUAGCGACUUUUUCGGUCAUAUUAGAAUUUAUUAGAGCUGUUGAUUUUGAGGUUUUAUUUGUGGAACUUGGGUUGGAUUUAUUUGUGAAUGUUGGGUUUUGGGAUUUACUCUUGUGGUUUGGAUUUUGAAUUUAUUUGUGACUUAUGUGUUUGAAAUUGUAUUGCUGGAUACUUUUGGGUUUGAAAUUUAUUUGUUAACUUGGGUUUGGGGGUUGGAUUAACUCCUCUGCUAUUUGAUUUGGGAUAACCAUUAAGGAUCUCAUAUUGUUUAAUACUUCUCGAGGUUGGUUUGGGCUGAAAUCCGUUAGACUUUGGUUCUGAACCCACAGACUUGUUUGGUUGAACACGUUAUGCUUAGGUUGGGAAUCAUCAAUGCUUUUUGAGUUUGAACCGACUUAUGACUUUAGCUUCGGUUCAUCAGAUUCUUCAUGGUUGGAUUUGCUGAGUCGGGUCCCUUCAUGGUUUUGUUCGAAUCGGAUCUCAUAUUCGAUUCGGGUGCGGACAUCCACCUUUGGUUCGAGCUCGCCAUCGCAUUGAACUCGAAUCAACUCAUAGUCGGUUCAAAUGUCGGAUCUUUGGUUCUGUUCGAUCGUGGACCUCUUCAUUUCGAUCGAUCCUAAUCGGGUGAACCGAAUCUCACGACUCGAGUCCUUUCAAGUUGAUCUUUUCGUUCACAGAUUGACGCUACUUCAUUCGAGUUGAUCUGUCAUGUUUGGAUUAAGCCACAUAUCGUUUCGAGUCGAUCCAUUAAUGGUCUUGUACUUGGAUUGAUUUACUUUGUUUGUGUUCUGACCGGUGUCGUCAGUUCGGAUUCACUUUAGGUUCAAGUUUGACUGUUCGGUCGUAUGACAGGGAUCUGGUUCGAUUCGGAGUCCGGUUCGGUUCAACUCGCAUCCUUUUCUCGGCUGUUGGAUGCGAUCCACUUGGUCGAUCGGAAUCGAUAUUCGCCUUCGGUAUCGAGUUUCAAGUCAAAUCUAUGAUUAUGGUUCAAGAAACGAACGUUCGGAUUCAACCGACAGAUCCUCUUGGUUAAUCGAAUUCCAUUAUGAUUUUGUCAGAACGGGAUCGGUUUCGUUUCAGCUUCGCGGUGACAGGUAAUCGUCUAAGUCGAAUCCUUUAUGAUCCGUUCAGUUCGAUCCGUUUCGUUCAGAUUCAAUCGGAUUCACCGCUUGGUUCAGAGUCGAUCUUUAAUGGUUUUCGGUUCGUUAGAUCCGUUCAGUUCGACAGAUCUCCGUUCACUUUAGUUUCAUUAAUCCUUUAUGGUUCUGUCCGGAUCGGAUCCGAUUCGGUUCGGAUCAGAUCGGAUUCACUUUAGUUCAAGUUGAAUCCUUUAUGGUUCUGUCCGGAUCAGAUCCACUUCGGAUCAAGUUGGAUCCAUUAUGAUUUGGUUCAGACGGGAUCCGGUUCGGUUCAGCUUGGAUCGGAUCCGCUUCGGUUCGAGUCGAAUCCUUUAUGAUUCUGUUCAGUUCGGAUCCGGUUCGGUUCAGUUCAGAUCGGAUUCACCUUGGUUCAAGUCGAAUCCUUUAUAGUUCGGUUCGGUUCGGAUUCGGUUCGGUUCGGAUCAGAUCGGAUUCACUUUAGUUCAAGUUGAAUCCUUUAUGGUUUUGUCCGGAUCAGAUCCACUUCGGAUCAAGUUGAAUCCAUUAUGAUUUGGUUCAGACGGGAUCCGGUUCGGUUCAGCUUGGAUCGGAUCCGCUUCGGUUUAAGUCAAAUCCCUUGUGGUUUGAUUCGGAUCGGACCCAUUUUAGUUCAGGUUGGAUCCUUCAUGGUUUGGUUCAAGUCAAACUAGCUUGUAGUUUGAUUUGGUUCGGUUAAUGUCUUUAAUGGUUCAAUUAGACUUAUUGAUUAGACUUGAUCGGCUUAUAAUCCGAUUUGAUUUAUCAUUAUGGUUUAGUUGACUCGGGUCUAGUCUAUCACGAAAACGACGACCCGGUUUAAUUGAACCGAACUCGGGUCAAGCCUAUAACGAAGACGGCGACCCGGUUUAAUUAAGCGAACCCGAGUCAAGCCUAUCAUGAAGACGGCGACCCGGUUUAAUUAAACGGACUCGGGUCAAGUCUAUCACGAAGACGACGACCCGGUUUAAUUAGUCGGACUCGGGUCAAGCCUAUCACGAAGACGGCGACCCGAUUUAAUUAAGCGAACCCGAGUCAAGCCUAAUCACGAAGACAGGCGACACCGGUUGUUAAUUAACGAAAUACCGGUCAAGGCUCUACACGAAGACCGGCGACCCGGUUUAAUUAACCGAUCCCGGAGUCCAAGGACCUACUCACGAAGACGGCGACCGGUUUAAAUGAACGCGAUCCCGGGUCCAAGCUACUCACGAAGACGGCGACCCGGUUUAUAAUGAACCGAACGAGUCAGCCUAUCACGAAGACGGCGACCCGGUUUAAUUAACCGGAUCCCACGGUCAAGCCUAUCACGAAGCACGAGCGACCCGGUUUAUUAACGAUCCGGGUCAAGCCCUAUCACGAAGACGGCGACCCGGUUUAAUUAACCCGAUCCCGGGUCAAGCCUAUUCACGAAGACGGCGACCCCGGUUAAUGAACCGAAACCCGGGUCAAGCCUAUCAACGAAGACGCGACCCGGUUUAAUUAACGGAUCCAGGUCAAGCCUAUCAGAAGACGGCGACCCCGGUUUAAUUAACCGAACCGAUGGUCAAGCUAUCACGAAGACGGCGCCGGUUUAAUGAUCCGAACUCGGGUCAAGCCUAUCACGAAGACGGCGACCAGAGAAAAAUAUUUGUUAUCAUUUUUUAUUAUUUUAUUUUUGUGUUCUCAUUUUGGUCCGAAUCGAAGUUCAACCGUGUCGAGCCUAUCACGAAGACGGCACUCGGUAUGAUCAUAAGUCCAAUGAGGGCAACGAUCCAACGUCGAGAUUGAAAGUGUUGAGCCUAUCACGAAGACGGCCGCUACUCAAUGAUAACAAGGAUCGUCAACCGUCGCAGUCGCCUCGUGCGCACAAUCUUUUCUUUUGAUGUUGAGGAGAGACGGGCUUAAUGAAUACGCGCGCAUGAUAUAGUAACGAUUGAAUGUCAAAUUUGAUCGGAAUCGACCUAUCACGAAGACGUCGUGUUGAUCAAACCGACAUAAAAUCGCGCAGCUAUAUCGUUUCACAUGUAUCACAAAACCCAUCGCCGUCGUAGAAAAGAAAAAAAAAGAGGCCGCUAAAUGGCCUCUUUGCGCGUCGUCGAAGUGCGUCGUUAGCGCGCCAUUGUCGACGUCGUCACCGUUUUGUCGUCGUUGUCGUCGCGCCAUUGUCGAAGUCGUCGCCCGCCACAUUAUCGUCGUCGUUGAAUAAAAGGCCAAGCUUCUCCUUCUUCCCCUUUUUUUGGUACGAUUUGGGGUGAGAGGUGUGCUCACAGCACCUCCCUCCCUUUGUUGCUGACGCGCGGCAGGAGGAGAGGGGCGAGUGUUGCCUUGUGAUGCACACGAUGGAGAGAAGAAAAAAGAAGAAAAGAAAACUUAUUAUUUUUGUUUUUUUUUUUUACCUUCUUUUUUUUCUUUAUCUCAACUUUUUCUUUUUUCUUUCUAGUUCCUCUCAAAAAAAAAAACACUUACAUCUUGGAUCCAAUUUAUAGGGAUCCAAAGAAUCAGUAUUAUUUUGGAAACAAAAUUCAAAUAAACCUCUAAAAAGGAAUUAUAUCAUUCCUUAUAGCUUAUAAGGAAUUUAAGUAUUUGAUACUAUUUUUAAAUCCUUCCUUAUUUUAUUUUAUUUGAAAUGACAAGAUUUUUUUUUUUUUUUUUUUUUUUUUUGCUUUUUUCCAUCUUUCUUCCUUUUUUUUUUUUUUGUUUGUUUUCUCUUUCUCUUUUUUUUUUUUUUUUUUUUUUUUUUUUAAUUCGAACAGUAGGUCUCAUAGGUCUCAUAUAAACUGAUCGAAAUUAGUAUCCCAUCCGAUGUGGGACUAUUGGGGCGUUACAAUAACUAAAAAAAAAAAGAGGAGCAAAAAACACAUGGAUCUAACCAAAACAUAUACAAACAAUUGUUGAGAUAAAACCCAGAAAACGUCUAAGCAUCAGGGGAAAUAAAAAAUCAGUGCAUAUCAAUUAAUAUAAAAGUCCAAACAGUCAAAGAGCAACAUCAUCAUAGGCAAAAACAAAAAAAGAGGGGAACAAAAAUACAUGCAUCUAUAUAACCAAAACAUGUGCAGACAAUUGCCGAGAUAAAACUUACAAAACCUCGAAGCAUCAAGAGGAAAAGUAAAAAAAACAAAGCAAAAAAAAUUUAGGUAAGCUUAGCUUUUCAAAAGCACAUAGUUAUGAUCAGUUGAAUUUUUUAUAGUUAUGAUCAGUUGAAAUAACAUUCAACAUUGCACGCCACUCACAAUAAAGCACCAACAUUUUUUGAUGUACGCAGGCUGCAAGAAUCGGCAUAAGAAUGGCCAACCCGCCAUGCCUUAGUAGAGUUUGUAGCAUUUAUUCUGAAAUUCAAACAUUUGCUAUGGAGAAGACCAACAUCAUAUACUCCACAAAACCAUUAAUUUAAUUAAUAACUAAAAUACACCAUUACUCAGAUUAUAGUAAAAAACUCUGCACCAACAGAAUAAAAAAACAAAUUUGUUUAGCCUUUCUUCUCCAACAAAUGAAAAGGUAAUAGCAGAAAAAUAAUUGCCAACAUCUUGCACUUCAAAACAAAACGAAAACACGAAACAAACCAAUGCGUAUCCAAGAAAAAUAAUAUACAAAAAAAGGGCUCAGAUAGAUUCAUAAAUCUGCAAUUUCAUGAUUUGUCUUUUGUAUAUAUGGAGUUGUAUUAUUUUCCUUUCUUUUUGCAUGAUUUGUUAGGUAUCCUUCAGAUUGGAUCUUAUAGUUUGAUAUGACUUAUCUGUUUUGCUUUACAAAACUUACUUUCGGAUUGUAUCUAAACAUAGAAGGGUGACAUCAGUGACAGCUUAUGGAUUUAAUUGAAUGAGCAUAAUUGAUAGGCCAGGAUAUUUCACUAUUACUUCAGUCACUUGGGAUUUGUUUUCUAGUUUUACGGGGUGCUUAGUCAAACUCAGAUAAGAGGCCAGAUUUAUUAGGCAUCCUUCAGAUUGGUUCUUAUAGUUUGAUACGGCUUAUCUGUUUUGAUUUUAAAAAUAUACUUUCGGAUUGUACCUAAACAUAGAAGGGUGACCUCAGUGACAGCUUAUGGACUUAAUUGAACGAGCAUAAUCGGUAGGCCAGGAUAUUUCACUAUUACUGCAAUCACUUGCGAUUUGUUUUCUAGUUUUAUGGAGUGCUUGGUCAAACUCAGAUCAGAGUCCAGUUAAAUAUUUUGGUUAAUUUAUGGACUUACCAUACGACAAAUUGCCAAGGUUAGGUUACCUAAGGAGAAGUCUCACGUACAGCUAUAUCUGUAGAUGGGUCCUGCUUGGAUGUAAGGCAAGGCGCAUCCAUCUUUUCUUAUGCAUCAGCUGCCAGUAAGCAAAGAUUUAUUUUCAGCUGACAAUUUGUUCUAAAAGACCUUUUAGAUAUCAGUUUAGAUUGUCAUGUGAAUAUUUUGAAAUGCAAUCGCAAUCAUAAGUGAAUCUUUGACACUUUUGUGAGACAUAUAAUCAACGCCAUGCUCGCACUUAAAGGUUUUUGAUUGGCUGGUGAUUUAUGAUGAGAAAAGCUAAUUUGCAAGCAUAAAUGUGAUAUCAAAAUAAUAUAUACUUUACAUACAGAUUGUAUUGCAUAUACAUUUUUUUUAAAAGAAAUUCGAGUAUGCACCCCUUUCUUUUCCAAGAAAUAGGAUUGAAUGAUAGCAUGUACUUAUUUCUUGUACCUCUGCAGUAAAUUUUCACAAUUCCAAAUUUUGAGAAGAAUCAAAAGGCAUAAACUUAUACGACAUGAAUGAUUGCAAAUCUUGUAGCGGAACCUCUAUUUGUCCAAGUAGGAAUAAAAUGUUAUUCAAACCAUUUCAAUUGCGAGCUAUCAAUUUGCUAUCAAUUUAUAUGUUUUUUUUCUUUUUUUGGUUCUCACUCACUUCUUUUAAGGCGAUAGUAUCAUAUAGUAAGUAUUUUAUUCUUCAUACUAAUUAUUUAUAUACAAUUUUGUUGGCUUUUUUUUUAGUGUUGAGAUUCUAAUCCUGAAAAUGGUUUUAGAAGAUAAGAAUGCGGCCUCAGUUGGAAGACCUUGGUCCAACCUUGCAACACAUAUUCUUGAGUUGAUUUCAUCCCAGCUCUCUCCAUCUGAUCGUUCCCACUUUGCUUUAACUUGCAAGCAGUGGAAUUCAGUUGUUGGUCCUACUUUUCCUGCUGAUAUAUGUCCACUUUUGCUAAACUGUCCAAGAUGGGGUUCCAAUGUGAUCCGGUACUACAGUCCUUAUUUCAACAAGAAUUUUGAACUAGAUUGUCCCUUUGACUUGUCAGGUGCCACAUUAUGUUCUUCAAGCAAUAGGUGGCUGACGUUAGGCUGGGAAAAUAAGAUUAUGUUAGCUGACCCUUUCACUGGCAUCUCACAUGAGGUACCAUUGGAGGAGGUAUUUCUUUUCUCUCAAUAUGGUUUUUUUUGGGAUCCGAUUACUUCGAAACUCCAAAUCUUCGGCAUUAGUAACGGUGGCUAUGAAAAUGUUGAUAUUGGUAUUUUUGAUGGUGAAAGUUGGUUCUGGUCUACAUACGAGAGUGGUCUACCAUUCUUUGUCUUCACACUCUAAUCCAGUUUUGUGCCGAGGCAAUUUUUAUUCCCUAGGAUCAGGUGGAGAGUUGGGAGUGUACAAUCUAAAAGAGGAUACAUGGACAGUUCUAAUGACUAAGCCUAACAAGUUCAGUUAUGAAGAAUGCUACCUAGUUGAGUCAGAGGGAGAGCUCUUUUCGGUACUCAUUGGAAAGUAUGGAUUACCUCUUCAUGUUCUUCGUCUUGAUGAACGCGAGAUGAUGUGGGAAAAGGUUGAAAGAUUAGAGGGGCGAAGUCUUUUCUUGGGAUCACUCACAUCGGUUUCUAGUAAUAGUACCACAUUGGAAAGCAUGGAAAAUAAAGUGUUUUUUCCAAGGUUUCAUGGUGAUGUUGAAGUCAUUCGCGCAAAAGUAAAGUACUCUAGUGGCCGCUCAUUUUUUGUACCGAAGAUGAAUGGAGAGAACAAGAGAAAAGAUGAAUCUAAUAUAUGUUGGUACUCAUUAGCAGAUGACAAAUUUCAUCUCAAAUAUUUUGUGUCCAAAAAAUACGUGAACAGCAUAUGGAUUGAUUCUAUAGUUGCAAGUGAUUAAACUUGAGGGCAGCCUUUUUAUUUUUCGAUACCUUUAGGACAGGUUUGCUAUAGAAUCUAAAAGCUUGGAAUUCUUAAAUUUUAGAAUGUAUGCUGUGAACAAUCACGAAAUAGUUUUUACCAGCCAUUUCAAUUUUAUUUUAUCACUAGUUCGAUCAUUUCGGGUCCAAAAAUAGUAAUACUGUAUUUUAAAUCUAGUACCUUUAGUAGUGCUAUGUGUAAGAAGUGAUGUAACUUUUUUUUUAAUAGGAGAAAAUAAUACUAAGCUAAAUGUGUACUAUUCUUGCAUUGUUGUUUGAUUUAUGCUUGUAAGCAAAUGGAACUUUAUAACUGACCUUGACGAAGUAACUUGUUUGGUCAGAAGCUGAUUGGAUAGAAUCAAUUUAUAUGAGAUAGAGGGGAUAAAGUUGUUUUUGGUCAUAAAUGUUCUCUUAUGUUACUUGAUUUGUCAUAAAUUAAUUUUUUUUGCAACAUCACAUUUUCGAAACUCGAACUUCACUCCGGAUAAUGUCAAAGUCAAUUAUGAAAAAGUGAUAUGAAAAAAUAAGUAAAAUUUUAAGUAAAUAAAUAAAGAUGUGGGAUAAUUGCAAUUUGAAAGCCAUAGACUUCUUAUCAAAUAAAAAAUAGUAGAGAAAAAAAAUUUCUUGAAUUUCAGUUUAAUUGAAAUUUAUUUUCAACUUGAAAAUUAUUUUUGGACAAACGGUCAAAACUUCAUCACCUUAAUAAUAUUUUCCAUUUAUUCAAAUAAAGCUCCCAAUUUCACAAUUGACACGGCCCUGGCAAUCCAAGAGGGGGGUUGAAUUAGGUUUCUAAAAUAAAAAGCCAAAUAAUCAAGCAAUUUAAAAAUCCGAAACAAAUAAUAAAGAGAGGAGUUUAAAGAAAUGCAAACUCAAAAGGCACACAAUCGAUUUGUUUCGAGGUUCGGCACUUUGCCUACGUCCCCGCCAACUUCUCAACACUAGAGAAUGUUGGAUCUCCACUAGAUAAUAUUUUUGGAGGCAAGCACCAAGCCUUCACACCAACACAUUCUUCUUUUCAAACUCCAAGACUUUGCUUUUCUCUCUUUUUACAAGAUUAAAUUUCACUACAAAUUGCACUCAAGUUUAGAGAGAGAAUUGAAAGCUAAAAGUAUUACCGUAAACAUGAUUUCGGGCGCCCAGAUGUUGUGCACGUGCACUCUACUUCCAGCUGCCUGUCAGACAAUGUACGCUACUUUUUCUGGAUUCGUACAUUCGGGCCUUCAGAAUUUGUGGGCGCCCAGAAUAUGCGCGCUGACUUUUCUGACAUAGAUAGACCACGUGCGCCGUUUUCUCUGAGCGGAAUCAUUUUGGGCUUCCAGAAGAUGUGGGUGCCCAGAUUUCCAGCACGCGCGCUGCCUGCGUCGCGUCGUGCCGCCUCAGAACUUUUCGGGCUGAUCCGUCGUACUGUCCGGAACACACAAUCUGUCAAGUCAAAUAAUCCGGUCGCCCUAAACAGACAUUCGGGCGCAAAAAUCAGGUAAAGAAAUUUCUGAACCACCCAAACAGCAAACAGGCAUGAUCCAAAAACACAUGAGAUUCAGAUCCACUUUAGGGUGCCCAGAACAGAGUCUAGAAACAGUAACUAGACAGAAAACUGAUUUUGAGCAGAUUUUGAAUAUUUUAAGAACCGAUGAACUUUAUAAGAAGAUCUUUGGAUAAGAUUCACUUUGAAUCAAAUAGAUAUUUGUUCAAGUGAGCUAUGAUAAAAAGAUCAAACUUAGCUCAAAGUUUCUCACUCUAAUCAUAAAGCAUAAUAUUAAUCAAAUUAAGAAAUAGAGAGAGUGAGUUUGUCUAUUUGACUGUAACAUACCAGAUUUUGGUAUAAAAAUAAAAAUAAAUAAAAAUAGUGUGAGAUACUAUUUUCGUUCGACUUAGAGAAGUAAAACAUAAGUCAGAAAUGACUUGUGCUGAAAUCGAAAUGAAAACAGAAGAUCUAGAAUUUUCUGUUGGAAACGGGACAGAUAAAUUAGCAGAAAAUGCACAGUCUCAGAAAAUUAUGAAAAUUGGAAGAUAAGUCAAAAAUAUUUUUAUGAGGCUAGAUUUAAAGUUUCAUAUUUUUCUGGCACCCGUAGAGUGAGAAAUAAAAUCCGACAGCUAUCUGAUAAAGAUUACAGUUCGGUACAGUUUUCAGUGACCAAAUGAGGUCGAAACUGAAAACUUAAGAUAUAUUCUUACUCAGUACGUUAAACUGAGCCUGCCUGUCAAAUUUGAGCUCAAACGGACAUUCAGAAGAGCUCCAACUAUUCCGAACUGCUAAACUGCUGCCCGAGGUGAAUAGUGUAAUAGUUGAGGGGCUGAUUUGUAAAAAGGGAUUUAAUCCCUUUUCUUCUUCUCCACCUCAGCCGAAUGCGCACACACACACACGCCACACACACGCAAGGAGAGGGAGGAAGAGAACUCUCCUUUCUCUCUCUAAAUCUCUCCCAAAAGAGAGGGUUUUGGUGGCGAUUGAAGCUCAAGGAUGGAUUUUCAUCUUUCCCAUCUUCUUCCUUGAAUGAGAAGCAAGCUUUGAAGGUAAGCUCCAAAACCCUUUAAUGGUAUCUCCUUGUAGUUUGGGUUUUAAGCUUCAAGAAUGGAUUUAGAGCUAUUCUAGCAUGCUAAAUAGGUGAUUGUUGCUUAAAUCAUGGAUCAAUUUAAUGAUUUCUUGCCUAGUUGUAAAUCUAGAACUUGAAAUGAGCUUUUUGAACCCUCUCAUGGUAGAUCUUUAAAGCUUCAUUUAUAAUCCAUAGAAAUGGUAUAUUUGGAAUCCUAGCAUGCUAAAUAGAGGAUAAAUACUAGAAUCUAGGAUCAAUUUAGUUAACUCUUGCAAUAGAUGAAACCUAGGGUUCAAAAUGCAAUUUUUGGAAAUAUGAGGGUUUGAUCUCAUUUGACCCUUUAUAAACAUAAUUGCUAGGUAAACGAACGCGCUGGCGAAGUCGGUUCGGCGAUUCGUCGAGCCGGUACGAAGUUAUUAAAGAAACGGACGUUUAGGCUUCAUUUCCGCCUGCAGGGCUGAGCGACAUCGUAUACUCAUGAAAACGGAUUUGAAGCAUCGUGGCACGGAUCGGGCCAAACCGGAUGCCGGGUGCCGCGGGAGGCCGAUUGCAAGUGUCGACAAGUAAUCGGAUUGCGAAAUGAGGUGGGUUGUGCUCAUCGAAGCGACUAGGUCGCCUAUAUAUCUAAGAGUAAUGGUUUUCUAAUUGAUGCAUAUAGUUUAUGUUAUUUACUGUUGAGAUAAAAUGCAUAAUGACAUAUAAUGUGUUAAAUGCUAGAUGAAUGCAUGAGUUAAUUGUCACAUGAAUGCAUGAAAAUAAUGUUAUAGUAAUAUGUUAGAGGUAAUAUGCAUGUUGAUAAAUUAUGGAACAUGUUGGAUGGCAUAUGAAUAGUUGGUAUAUAUAUGUAGACAUAUUGUGGAAUAUGAUGAAUGAGUGCAUGUUGAUUUAUUGUAGAAUAUACAAGAUGAAUGUAUAUUGACAUAUUGUGGAUUAUGUUAAAUGACACAUGCAUGUUGAACUUGGAUCGAUAAACUCUAGGUGAAUUAGAGAACUCGACAUUGGAAAACAAUGACAUAUGAACUAUGAUAUGUGACGUGGACAAUCUAUAUAUAUUAGAUCGAAUGGCAUAUGAUUAGUAUAGUGGAAACACUUAUGGCAUGUUGAACACUUAGAAAAUACGUGUGUCAUGAGUCCAAGAAUAUAGUAGUGCAUAUGACACAAAUGAUAGUAAAAAAUGCAAAGAAAAGAAUGAUUGAAAUAUUAUGACAUUUUAAUCCUAGAGUUUAGGGUCAUUUGAGCAUAGUCUUCCUAAAGUUAAGGAAUUGAUUAAACUUGGAGUCCUCAAAUGUAGGAUUGAUCAUACUCACUUUUAGUCCUUGCUCGAGGUUGUGGUAGCUCCCCCUCGGGCGAUGUGCUCCGGAGACAACAUCACUGGGUAUAGCGAGUAUCUCCCCAGAGGACCGUCCCAUCGGGUGUAGCGAGUAUCUCCCCGAUUAUUGGGAUUUUGAGUUGGUGAGUUUGUUGAGGGCGAAAUCUUCGGGUUAGCCAAGAGAUUGGGUAACAAGCACAUGAGUUGUAGCAAUAUCCUAGUUGAGUGGACUUAAGGCUGAGGUGCAAGUGAGACGUCCUUCGCCUCGAGCCUGGCUUUACGCGGUACUCCGCGAAUGAUUGACUCGAGACCGAGUCGGGUGGAUAGUUGAUAAAGGUAAAUGGGACCAUAUGAUCAGAAUUGUAAUUAAUAUGAAUUUAAAAUAGUGGAAUAACUUCGAAGUCAAUUAAAUGAGCUUUGAAUAGCAGGAUUAAAGUAGUAUCGAUUGAACUACUAAUUGGUUGCAUAAAUCGCAUGAUUUUCAUAUUGCAUGGUUGUGAGGCAUGACAUGUAUUUCAAUUAUCAUAUAUAUAUAUAUAUAUAUAUAUAUAUAUAUAUAUGUGUUGGAUAUUUGUUGGACUAACAUGUUGCAGUGCCUCCUUGGACCUGUGGGUCGAGCUCUUCCCUUGGGUGGUCGUACCCACUGGGAACAUAUUUAUAUAGUUAUCACCCCUGUGUUGUUUUUGGGGGUACAGGUUCCCACGUGAGGGGCGCGGCGGCGCGAGGAGAGGGCGUAGCUCCGUAGAUAGCGCCCUACCACCGAGACCAGAGAUAGCGGUACCCUGAGUCGGCCUUUACUUAGGGAUGUAAGAAAACGAAAAGAAUCAAGUUGUAAUAAUUUUGAUUGUAUUUGGAAGUUAAAUGUAAUAAGUAUUUGUGAUGUAAAAUGUAUCUAGUGAUUGAGAAUGCUUGUAAUAGCAAGUAGAUUAUGUUAUUGAUCCUUCCUUAUGCAAUCUUUGAUUGAAAUGUGUUCCUAGUUGGAACUUCGUACAUUGUAUCGAUUGCGACGCCUUAAACGUACAGGGGAGACUCUGUCCGCGGUACCGGAGAAAUCCUGUCCAUUCGGCGGUUUGUCGGCGUGCCUAAAACUGACCAAAUAGGCAGGCUCGGGGCGUGACAUUGACAAAAGAAACAAGCAUAGCUUCAAGUAGUGAAGCUCGGUGCUAGAAGAUUGCUCAUCUUGAGUCCUUUUGAAAAUAGAGAGAUUUAAGACACAAAACUCAAGAUAAAAGAUUAGUCCAAUAAUCGUAAUUAUUUGUUAUCAUCAAAAUCUAAUGAAAGAUUAGGGCCAUUAGGCCAACACUAUCCCUGUUUCAACUCCGACUUAUGGUACUACCAAUAUUGCAUCUUUAUUUCUGAAAACUUCUCUAUUUAAGAGUCCCUGGCACACCCUCUGCUCAUUUCAGCUCGAAUUUAGGCACUGGUUAUAUUACAUCCUUAUUUGAUUAUAUUGGAUAGUCCCAAAACCUCUGUAUUGUGCUAUUUUCGGACUAUACUUUUACAGGCACGCCAUGUUUUUUACAGAGUUGAGUGUUUAAAUAAGUUUUAGAAAAUUUUACAUUAUACUAUAGCAAAAUGCCUUAAACUCUAUAAAAAAGAAGACAAAAGGUAAAUUAAAUUGAAGUUAGGAGUCAAAUAAAGCAACUAAAGAUUAAACAGAAAACAAAAUAUUUAUCAACGGAUGGAGGAACUCACUUACACGCAGCCUCUUCUCAAGAGUUAAUCUAAAAGAAAGAUAUUCUAAUCUCUUCUCGAGUUUAUUUUUUGCUUCACGCAACGCACCAUUUUCAUUUGCAGCCGACAAUAUUUUUGAAAACUUUGACUAUCAAUCUCUUUCUUGAAAUAUUCAUAUAUAAAAGCAACAAAGCAUAGCCUUCUAAAUUAAAGUAAAGACAACAAGCUUGAGUCACCGAGAGAAAAGACGGUAAAUACAUAUAUUAGCCAGACAAUCUAGUGUACCACAAAGUGCGUGCGUCAAAUUUUAGACCUAUAGAUAGACCGUUUGUAUAUACAAUUUUCUUACUGAGACUUAUGACUAGAAGAACCUAACAAGUGGAAAAAUAUGCCUGCCCUGAUAUUCCAAACAAAAAUAAUGUGACAAAGAUGAGAUGAAGAUGAAUAUUACCAUACCCGUGUGUAUAUAUAUAUAUAUAUAUAUAUAUAUAUAUAUUGGAUCUCGGUAGAUAUAGAAAUUGAUUUAGCCUCUCUCUCUUCCAAUAUAAUUUUUCGUGAAGAUCAGAAUAUCUCAAAAAGGGAACGUAGAUAUUAGAGGAUUGCUAGCAUCAUCCUUGUAGUCUACGACUCAUCUGUUCCGUGCGACGAAAGACGUUGGAUCUGCAUCAAUUCCAUGUGGAUACGCGUAGAGGCUGGGUACGUGCGCGACUAAUCGGAAUCUCAGUUUUAACCGUACAGUAGAUCAAGAGACCUUAACUAGUCCGAGGUGAUGCAACCUGAACUUCAAAUCUGUUUAGGUUUGAUUAUUAUUUUACACUGUAACAUGAGAAUGAUCCGCUAGCACUGGAUUGAUUUGUUUUCGAUUUUAUUCAUAUGUGAUAUGGAUUUUAGUUUUCAAAAAAUUUUAAAAGGUACAAUAUUAAUUUCCGCUGCGAUUUGAAUUUUAUUUUUGUGCCGGAUAAAUUCUUACAAAUAUUUUCCACUCCUACAAAACACAAAUCUUUAAAUCCCAACAGCUUUUUUCUCUCUGUUUUCUCUAUUUUUCUUUUUUUUCUUUUUUACCUUUUUCUUUUUUUCCUUUGUAUGUUGGGUCUCUACACCGUACUGCCACUAUAUCGACCCCUUCCAUACCACAGGUCGUCGUCUAGUCCAUCACGACCGACGAUAAAUUUGUUACCAUUCUCCAUAAUAUUUGCGCUUAAGAAAUAUGGAAAGAUGAGAAAAAUAGGAGUAAAAAAGGAGAGUAAAAAUUUAUAUUAAAAAAUAGGGUAUAUCCCUGUUUAAUCAAAAAAAAAAAAAAAAAAAUUUAUAUUAAAAAAUUGUCUAUUAGAAAGGGCAGAAAGAAGAGGAGCCAAGGAUUUCUUCUUUUUUUUUUUCUUUUCUUUUUGUGUGUCGGAUAUCUACUAUCAAGCUGAAACAAGGGAGAGAGGUAGGUAUUGAUGAAGAUGGGUUUCUUCUUUUACUCUCUGUUUCUCUUUUCCUUUUUUUGGCUAGAUCUCUACUACCCAAUUACCCCCUUCGAUCAAGCUGAAAUAGGGGGAGGAUAGGUAGAGAUGAAGAUGGGUUGAAAGAAAGGGAGAGAGGAUGGAGAGGAACAGUAAUUGAACAAAUGUGAACCCAUGUGAAUGCAUUUUUAAUCAUAUUAACUUAAAUUUCAUGAUCGUGAGAGAGAAAGGGAAAAAAAAAAAACUUACACAUAAAAAAUCUAUGGGGAAGGAGGCGGCGUUGCUUAACGACAGAACGUAUUUGAUUUCUCAUUUAGUAUAGAGUUUAAUCCUAUGCAUAUAAAAUCAGAUAACGGAAAAAUUGAAAUCAGAUUUUUAUAUUUCGUUAUAAUAGAUUGGCAUGAAAUCUUGAAUACUGUAGAAUUUUUUACUCUCUUUUUACUGUUUGGAUAAAAUACAGUAGUUUUUACACCAUUAGAAAAAUAACUAGUUUUUUCCCCCUAAUUUAUAGAAUUGCAAAUUCACAACUCCUGCCAACUUAUCAUAUAAAUAAAUGAACUAUUCCUUAUUAAUGCAAUGUUAUUUAUUUUACAAAAUAAAAACAAUCUAAUAUAAAGAUACUUUUCAUUAGAUAUCUGAAUGCAAUCUUCUCAUUAGACUAGUGUAAUGACCCGCGCGAUGCGGCGAAUAGGUAAUAUUCGAUAUUUAACUUUAGUUUUUGUGCUAAAAUUUAUUCUUUCUUCUCUUUAAAUUAUAAUAUUUGAUUAUUUUUCUUACAAUAUAAAUAAUAUAUCAUACUUUCAACAUAGAGAACAAAUAAAGAGUAAAAAAAAUAGAACCAAGAGAAUGAAAUUUGAUGCAUAAUUAAACUGAAGAAAUAUUUGAGAUCCUGUAGAAAAAGCUGAAGCAAUACGAAAUAGCAAAUAUAUAAGAAAAAUAAUCAAAUAUUANAUCCUGUAGAAAAAGCUGAAGCAAUACGAAAUAGCAAAUAUAUAAGAAAAAUUAAAAAAUUUUGAGUAACAAAUAAAUAAAAGCGUAAGCAGUUAAUUCAACAGUAGCAGCAACGACUAUAAAUACAAUGAAUUUUAUAGCGGUAGAAGUCGAAGAAAGGCUUGCAGAGUUGGCUGAAAGAAAAAGUAAUAGUCAGUAAAGAAUUAAGAAAAGAAUGAAAUAGGACUAAUAGGAAAAGUUGGUUUUAAAAUAUUACUAACCAGCUAUCCCAAAAAUAUGCGACUACAGUGGUGCAAAAUCAAGUGAGGUAGCAACUUACAAAAUUAAUUAGAAUAUAUAAGUUGCAGAACUUAUAGUCAAAUAAUUUUAAACAGGAAUAGUAAAAAAACACCAUCACAACAAUUGAAAAAAAUAAUAUAGAGAGCAAACAAAGUGAAAGAAAAAUAGAACAAUCGAAAACAAUAUUCAACAAACAAACGAAGAAAAUAGCAUAAACAGUAGCAGUAGAAAUUUGAGAAAAACGAAAAAGAACAACAGCUAAUAAAAUUCUAUUUUUACUAUAGGCUCAGACAUGUAAUGAGUAUUAUCAAUAGUCAACAAAUUUAUUUUUCUCAUUUCAGAAGUCUUCAAGAAAAUGUGUCGCGUAUAGUUAUAUGUCAUCAAUAGCUUAUGUAUCCCUUGCUGGGGGGAAUCACCAGUUGCAAUUAUUUUGUAAUUGCCAUCACCAGAAGUCUUCAAGAAAAUAUGUCGCGUAUAGUUAUAUGUCCUCAAUAGCUUAUGUAUCCCUUGCUGGAGGGAAUCACCAGUUGCAAUUAUUUUGUAAUUGCCAUCCUAGUUGAUACUGAACCAGCAAAGAAAUAGAUUUUUUUUUUUGCCGCAAAUAAUUUUUUUACGGAGGCAUAUUAUAUAAGCAGCAAGAAGGAGCAUGGAGAAUGAAUCCGAACCAUUUUCAUGACCGGAGGGAAUCACUAAGCCGAAACGAAGCGUCGCUAAUGGGACCGGCGCGACGGGAAGAAGGGCCGACUAUGAACUCUGCCCAAUAUUCCGUCCUGAUAGGGUACAGCAGGAGUCGGAGCGGCAUCUAAGGGGUUGAGCGGCAUCAGUUGGAAGACGAACCUCUUCGUUGAACCAAUUAAAUGGGAAUCGGUUGAACCAACUAAAUGGGAAUGAGAUAACCGUCAGGAAAGAAGAACGACAACGAACUCGGGCCAAUUUUCCGUCCAAGAGGGCACAUCAGUAGUCGGAGCAGCAUCUAGAGGGUGAGCGGCAUUGGCUGCAAGACGAACGUAUUACUCGAACCAAUUAAAUGGAAGCGGUUGAAGAAAUUAAAUGGAAAAAAGAUAAGGUUCCCACAAAUCAACAAUUAAGCAGAGUAGCUUAAGAUGUCUAGUAUGGCCCAAAAAAAUCAAAUUAAGCUAAUAUCACAAAAGGAAACGAAUUUUCAUAGGAAUUUAUAGAUAAUUUGCUAUAGACCAGACAUGUAAUCAGUAUUAUUAGUAAUCAGCAAUAAUAUUUUUCUCAUUUCAGAAGUAUUUGAGAAAAAGUGUCGCGUAAGAGGAUGAACCAGUUUUUCUAAACCAAUUUAAUGGGAAGAGGAUGAGGAAAGAAAAAAAACUUAUAGGUGAGGCCCAUGGGCCAUACAGAUAGGUCCUACACAAAUCUCACACAAACCCACAAUUAAGCAAGAUAGUUUAAGAUGACAGGUAGGUCACACAAAAGGCCAACUUAAGCAAAUAUUUCCAUGUGCACAAAAGGAAACGGAUUUUCAUAGAAGUUUAUAGAUGCAUCCCUUGCCGAGGGGAAUCACUGGUUGCAACUAUUUUGUAAUUGCCAUCCUAGUUAGUUAAGCGAAAUACUUGGUUGCAAUGGAUGCAUAACUACCAUCCGAGUUGCCUUACCAUGUAUAUACUCUUUUCAUAUUAAUCAUAAGAUUAUUCAUUUUGUCAUCAUCGCCAAUCCCAAUAAAUAGAAAACUUAAUAUUAUGGUCGUAGAACUUAUUAAAAAGUAUCUGAAAUCAUAAAGUAGUAAAAAUAAUAGAGAAUCAACAACAAAGUAAAAAAGUGAACUACCUCAAGAUUGAGAAUAGGAACUGGUUCAACGGAAAUAUAGAAAAUCGAAUUUGUAAUUACAAAGAAAAUGAAAAAAUCAGAGUAAAAUUAUACUAAAUGGUAGGAAAAUCGGGGUAAAAAAAUAAGAAAAUCAAAAAAUUGAAAACAAUGAGCUAUAAGUAGUCAAAAUGAAAUUCCAAAGAAAAUGAAAGGCAUAAACCAUAGCAGAGAAGAAAGCAACAUGAUAGAAUACAACAUGGGCAUUUAUGGUUAUAGCUCCUCAGUUCUGCUUUAGAACUCUUCCUAAAGGUAUUGUUAAUAUAUUUUCACGUAUAUGUGAUGUUUCACGCACUUUUAAAGUUGCGUAUUUUCCCAUUUAGGCUACUUGUGAUUGGUUUCUUUAUUAUAAUACCUUAUUUGUAAAAUGAAUGUAUGAUGUUCUUGUUACAUUAACAUUUCGGAUCAAGUGAUAAUAGAAUUUAGAAUCAAGACAGGAGUUUUGAGUUUAGCCUGGAUGAUACCUUACUUACUUUUAACAAAAUAAUUCUAGCUAAAUGUCAGUUUUCUAAUAAAACAAUUCUUUUCCAAUCUUCUGUUCUUUCUGAGUUCAACAUACCUUGAUCAAUUCGAAGUGGGUUCUACUAAAACAUCGAAGGUUCAAUCUCAAAAGGUGUUGAAAACACCGAAGAGAAUUAUCGAGAAAUAUUCUGUUGGCGGACAUGGCGAUUUUGGGACAAAAUUGAAAUUCAGAUCAAUUCCUUUAAUUUGCUGCAAUAAUGGGAUAAGAAAUAUAUUUAGGAUCAAGAUCAUUAGCAACACCAUUUUCAUCCAUGUCAAUUUUGAUUUAGACAAAUUAAAGGAACGAAAACUGAACCGGUAUGCCCAUAUAUGUUCCAUUAAGUCAAUUGAUCUUCUGGUAAAAUCUACAUAGAAAAAAAGCCAUUAUAUACCGCAAAUCUAUCCGACAGUUCCAGCUUUAGAAUCGGAAUAUAUCCAAUUGCCAUCAGUUAGAAAAAAAUGCACUUGUUAUGCUGAAUAUAUCCAACAGGUUGAGAUUGUUAACUUCUACAAAAGAAAUGUGGAUACCGAACAAAAUUUAUGCAAUUCCAAAAAAUGGUGUUAAUUGUUACCGGAAGAAUCACUUUCAUCAAUGAAAAGUCUGCUUACUAUGUUUCUUUUGUAGUCAGAUUACUGUCUUUUUUAUCUUUCACAUAGAAAGAUUCUGUAAAUGGACUCUAUCUUUAUUCAGUUACUUUGAAAUAUAGUUAGAAUUUAGAUCCUCAUAACAAUUUAGUCCUUGGUAGUCUAUCUUCUUUAAGAGAUGCACUAUCAUCAUGAUUCUUAGGUUUUGCAAUACAAACUUCAAUGAUUAAAUUGUCAGAAUUAAAACUGUGCGAUAUUGAACAAACUUCGAGUAAAUUAUUAACUAAACCCUCUCUAAUAUAUGUGGAUGUUGGAUAAUGUUACUUGUUUCAUUGCAUGCUUUGGAUGCUUGACCAUCUUUGAGGCCAAGAUAGAUAUACAUAAGCACUUUCCACAAUACUACUUUGCUAUCAGCAAAGCCGGUCCAACUCUAGGCACAUCAAGGUACUAUCGGAAAGUGCAAACUUGCGGUUUGAAGGUUCUAUGUUGUUUUGAGAUCAAGCCUCUUUAUUAGCUAAGUUGACUGAUAGUUGUUGCAGCAGGAGAAAACAUGUUUAUUGAACAUUAAUGAUGGAGGAAUAUCUUUUUCUCUUAAUUGCCACUCAGAUAUUUCGAAGGUAUUCUAACCUGGUUUUAUUUUGUAAUUUUCUGACUUUGCUAUCAGUACUUGGAAUAUCAUUCCUAUUGCUAACUAGCAUGUUUUGUGUUUCCUCUCAAAAAGGUAUUGGCAAUUUGAGCAUGUUAAAGUUGAAUUGUUGGUCUAUAUACGUUCUCUGUCUUACUUUUAUAGCUUAGUAAAUUUUGUUUAUGAAUAAAGCGAGUAGCAUGCUACCUUUCUUCUUAAAAGGUAAAAGAAAAAAAAAAAAUUAGUUGCAUCCUAAGCCCAAAAAACUUACAGAACAUCAUCUGAGGGAGUUGCUAGCUAGAGGAGGUAGUACUUAUUGUCACUGUUUCCUAAGUCAAGUCAAUAAGAUAGUAUAGAUUAGUACUGGUAUUAAUGGUCGACAUGUGAUAUUUCAUAGUACCUAAUUAGAAAAGAUUAUACAUGUGCACAGAUAGUGAAAAAGGGGUAGUUGAGUCAAUUGUUAUUAUUAGUAUUAGGGUAAAUUGCACAUUUGGUGUCAAACUAUGAGUUGGCCGACACUUUUGUCCUCACUUUAUUUCGCUAUAAUCUGUAACUUUUUAGUUAUUUGAUAUAGCUUGGUUUUGAUGUUAUAGUCUAUUUUUGUAGUAUCUUAUUUUCUCCAUUGUUUAGUUUUGCUCAACUAUUAAAAGUGUAGUUUUCAAUUAAGAGUAUACUAUAGGCUGCAUACUUUAAAUUCAAAGUUAGCUAUAAGUUUAGUUAUUAGUUUAGUUUUGCUCAACCAUUGUUUACUUUUCCAGUCAAUCAAUAUACACUCUAGGCCGCAUAUUUUAAUUUCCGAGUUAGCUCCAAUUUCGUUUAUUUUGUUUAUUUUGAUCUAGUACACAGCAGCACCUCUUUUGUAAUUCCCUGCAAAUCAUUAUUUCAAUUUGGAUUUUAUAUGUAUUUCAGUUUUUUUCCUUUUGUUUUGUUCUUAAAUUUUUUGUCUUUUUUAAUGGUGGUUGGCAGUAAAAUUAAGGUGAUAAUUUGAUUUGGAGUUUGAAGCAAAUCUUGCUUUGGGACUGUGCGAUCAAAAACAGAUGGAAUUAGACACAGUGAACUAUUGCUUAUUAAAAUCAAAACUUAGAAAAUUACCUCAUACUUUCAAGGGCAAGUUUCUGAAUGCCGACCUCCGAGGCAAGAACUCCUUCAACAUAUUCUUCAAUGCCAAAUCCUCAUCCGUCUACAAUCUUGCACCUAAAGCAUCUCGAAAUCACCGAAAAUACAUCAUAAUUAAUAAUUAGAAUAGUAUUAUACACAAAAUCCUAAUAUAUAUAUAUAUAUAUAUAUAUAUAUAUAUAUAUAUAUAUAUAUAUAUAUAAUUCGUGGGAUUCCAGAAUAAGUUUUUACACUUUAAUGCACCUUAUUAGUAUUGUUCUCGAGUCCCAACUGAAUAUGCCCUUAUAAAUGGUUUCUAUACGACUUAUUCCUAAUGCCAUCUCAUGCAGGUUAGCUUUUUUAGACAAUUUUUCAGAUCAGUUCGCAAGGCUGAUUACUUAGCAAUGUGCCAUGGUUUCAUUACCGUAAGUAUUAUCGGCUAGGAAAUGAGAAAUUACUGAAGAAACUAUUGUCAGCUUUGUUGAUUAUCUUGCUUUUGCAAGUUCAUUUAGCUCCAGGCAGUAAGUAUAACGACAUCAAAGGAUGGUUGAUAGGAUUUUUUUUUUUCUUUCUUUUUUUUCUCUUUAUAGCUUCGUGCUCUCUCCUUUUUUUUUUUAAGUGGUCCUAUGCUUGUUAAUUUAUAUUUUUUCUUUUCAAUGGACAAUUUAGAUUGUCUUCUCAGUUUUUUCGACAUAAAAUGAAAAAAUNAAAUAUUCUAAAAGAAACUAAAUACAUAUCCAAUUUAUUUUGCAAACAAAUCAUAUAUAAAAGCAUUAUGAUUACAUAUAUAAUAACAUUAUGAUCAGGACCGGGAAAAAAAAUAAAUUGCUAAAUUAUUUGCAGAAACAAGCUGGAAGGCAAAAAGAAUUAGUAUAUAUAUCAAAAUUAAAUCAAAGAGCUUACAAAUUCUUCGCCAAUCACUCUCAGAUCAAACGUACGUAGGUAGGCAAUUUCCUGAGACAUUUUAAAAAAAGUAAUAAGAAACCAAAUUGAAAUUCAAACCAAAAAAAAAGUUGAAACCAAAUCUGAGAAGGAAAAAUCACCAGCAAAGAAAUAGAUUUUUUUUGCCACAAAUAAAAUUUUUACAGAGGCAUAUUAUAUAGGCAUCAAGAAGGAAACGUGGAGAAUGAAUUCGGACCAUUUUCGUGACCGGAGGGGAUCAAUAAUCUGAAACGAAGCGUCGCUAACGGGAUCGGCGCGACGGGAAGAAGGGCCGACCGUAAAAACAAAGGGAAGAACUUGCCAUCAAGCCUUUCCACUGCUUUCUGAGCCUCAUCAGCAUAUUUAUACCUCAGGAACGCAAAACCACGCGAUUCCCCAGUCCUAUAGAUCAAACAUAUUAAAAAAAAUGAAUUAAAACAUUAACAAAAAGUAGCAAAAACAUCCAAACCCUAGAAAUCCGCACCCAAGAGCUGAUCUAACUGAAAAAACCCUCAAAAAAAACACCAAAUCUCGAAAUUUUAAUUAGGUAGGCACCUGCAAUCUCUAGGGAUGAACACGUCCACCACCUUGCCUUACCGAUCAAAGAGGGGGAAUAGAUCAUCCGCCGUGGUACCUACCAAAAAUCGACUGCCGUGGUACCUACCAACACUACAACAAAAACGGUCUAUAGCGACACUUUUAAAUGUAGGUACAUGUCAAAAAAGUGCUGCUAGCUAAAAUUACCGACACUUUUAAAAAGUGUUGCUAUAUGUGGGGUCGCUAGGGAUAUAGUGACAGUUAAAGAGUGUCGCUAUAACCUAAAAGAGUGCUGCUAAUUUACCAACACUUAUUUAAGCAUUUAGCAACCGCCGAAACUCUAUCUCGUUGACUGCGGUGGCGGAGGAGGACGACAGGAAAGGCUCUUCGUCUAGAAUUUCAGUGGAUUGAGUGAAGAGAGAAGAAAAUAUGGUAAUUGAUUUUUCUUUUUUUUUUUCUUUUCUGUUUGUAAUCGGGUCAAAUGGACUGGGUGUGGUGGGUUGAGUAGAGUAAUCUUUUAUUUUUAGUUGGAUUGGGCUUUAUAUUUAGGCAUAAGUAGAUGUUUUUUAAAGUUUUAGCAUAAAUGGUACACUUACUCAAAAGUGUCCCAAACAUGUGUCCCUAUAACCUAAUUCUGUUGUAGUGCAAAAAGCAGUCGAUUUGUAGAGAGGGCA
rnacentral:lncRNA from 1 species